rnacentral:lncRNA from 1 species
AGUUUUCCAAAUUAAGCGAGCAUAACUUCGACAAGAGUUGACAGGCUGAAAAGGCGAGUUCUACAAUGUUCACACGAGUGGCACGAAAAGACAACAAUCCAGUAUAGUACAUCACAUAACAGUAGCUUAAUCCAACUUAAAAAGGAAAGUAAAGAACUGAUGCCAUAAAUUGUAAAACAUAGAAUGAUUCAUCCUCUGACCCUUAACUGCUAAAGCUGGAACUUUGCCAUAGUAUGGCACAUAGAAUAGGCUGCGAUAUUUUCGGGUGAAGCUUCUUGGAAUCUUUUGGGACUGUGAGCGUUUACCAGUACUGAUGCUAGCUGAGAUGAUCUUAUCACCAAUUUUGUCCUCAAGGAUAACCAGCUCCCUCUCUAGGUCAACGGCCAUGAUUUUAUAUUCGAAAACCCAGUAUCCUUCACGGUCAGUGCGGAGAAAAAUGUCUCUGCCAAAUAUAUCAACCAUACUUACACGAUGCCUCACCGCCCACCCAUCAGGGACUUCCAAACUCCAAAUCCGUAUUGCGCAGCCAUCAAAUUCUUGUUUCGCGUAGCAUAAGACACCCGAAGACUGGCCAAUACAUCCAUUAGAACAGAAAGUCAUUUUGGACCUAUUCGGAUAUCCUGGCAGCUGAAUGAUCCUAUGAUCGAGCCACUUCGUACUUCUAUCAGGUGCGUCAAGCGCCAGAAUUUUAUGAGCCAAUAGGUGCUUCAUGUACAACACCCCAUUUACAAAGAGCGGAUCACCUUCAAAUCCAUCUCCAUAUUCCCAAAGACAACUAGACCACCAAAGACAACUAGACCACGUGGAAUCCUCAGAGAAAAAUACCUUAACUUCAGUGGAGGUUCCAAUUAUAUGAGGGCCCAGGACCGCGCUCGACUGAAAUUUGAAGACACAGAAGUGUUGAGACCAUAAUGGAUCAAAACACAACUUGAGAUUAGCUGAAAAGACCGAUGGUCCAGGUUCAGUAUCUGGAAGUGCCAUCCACUCUUGAGUUGCUGGAUUGCACACAAUAGCUUGGAAAUUUCUUCAAUUCUAUUUUUCUGAUAACAAAGAAGUAGGCCAUUGCAGCAACCCCGAAGCAGUAUUGGGUACUUAUAACAUGGCACAAAGCUAAGUGUUGUGUCAAUUUCCUUGUCACUUGAGGGCAGUCUGGCGAGAUGGAUGCCACUACCAAGAGAGGAGGCAAGUCUGCCACGCUCAAAUUUCUGGUACAAGAGACCAGUGGGAGUUCUUGGGAACUUUUGUCGGUAGUAUGGAUGAGAUGAGAAGGCAAGCCAAGACUUGCAGACACAUUUGAAGCGGCACAGGGACUUCAGCCGCAGUCGAGACAGGAUGUCCACCACCAGCUCAUUAGGUAGUACACAUGUGGACAUCCCCAAUCUAUGAUCUGAACUUAUUUGCACCAAAAGAAAAGAAAAUAAUAGAUGAUAUAAAACUGGGGAACAAUAAAGUACGUGUGUAAACGCCAUCUGAACCCAAAAAUUAAAACUCAAGCGAAGUUUCACCCUCCAAAAAACAAUGAAUGCACAUUUUUCUGUUGGUCCGGUUCAAUGCUUAAAUUAGUAAAUAAGUGGGCCUUGAAACAUUUUUUAUCAUGUUCAUGCCUUAUGACAAUGACACGGUUGUGUAUAUGGAAGAACAUAUUUGGUAUGGGCUUAUGGCCUACACUGAGUGGGUCACAGGGAUUCACUAUGAAAGAACAGAUUUGGUAUGGGCUUAUGGCCUAUGAUGAGUGGGUCACAGGGAUUCAUCGUUUGGUUGACACAGGGAAACUGCUAUCUAGUAGUUGUGUGCAAGAUAAAAUGAAAUCACUAUAAGUUUUUUCAAUGAUUACAUCGCCAUCCAUUUCACAACUAGUUGGCAAUGGUGACAACAUAAUACACAUGUUGCUAUAAUGCACCUUGAAAAACAAUGUGAUUUGAUAAAAAGGGAAAAGAAAGUACCUUCAGGAUCUAUAAUCCCAACGACCUAUCAGACGCCGUCAGAAGCUGAGAUAGGUGCUAACUUGUGAGAUAAGACAGGGAAAGUCAAGAAUAUCAUCGUAUCCAUCUUUAGUGCGACUGACCAACAGAAACGAACUCAUCAGACAUCAGAUCAUGUAUAUGCUCCUAACCACGACUUCCUUUGGCAUCACGAAGACGACAGGAUGAGGGAAAUCCGUCAAUUUACAGGAUGGCACACCAACUGGCGAAACGGAUGGCGUUGAGAUCUAGGUUGCAUCUGCGACGAGCUCAGAUUAGAAACAACACACGGGGACAAAUAUGUGGCAUAGACACCAAGGAGAGGAAGAGGAACGGGAGCUCACCGCGUAAUGGUUGCUUCGGGUCGUCGGCGAGUACGGUCGGCCAGGCGGCAAGCGGAAACAAGGCUGCGGAGGUGAGGCAGCAACGCAGGAUUUGGAGGUGGGCGCAACGUAGUGCCUAGAGAGAAGGGGGAUAGGUGAGGAUGUGUUGAAUCUAAAUCAAGGGAAGAAGUAAAGCGAGUGCUCGAGGCCCUUCUAGAGAUAAAGGGAUAAGGGAAAGCACGCGGGACCACAUCGACACAUGUUUUGUAUGUGAGGUGGCUGACGCCAGCGCUUUUGUCACCCCGCCGAACAAAAUUAUUUUCCUUUAGAAAAAAUAAUAAUAAUCUCACUUGAAAACAACAUUGGGAGUCGCUAGGGUGAUAUUUUCUCCGUUGGCUAUCUCUCCAGCCAUCCAUUGUACUUAAAUGGUAAGUUUUGGAUCCCUACGUUGUAACACUAAACACCCAAAUAUGAAAUAGUUAGAAUAUUUCCCCCCAUGAACCUAUAAAAAUGUAUUCAUAGAAUUGCAACAUUUAAAACAUGCCCACAAAAAAUAUAGGACAUUAAAAAGGGUCAAAAUAGCAUGAACACAGGCAACAUAAAAAAUCAAUGUAAGAAAUACAAGCACAACACAUACAAUAACGAAGAAAACAUUUGUAACAUAAUUGCAAUCCCUUCGUGACAGAAGUCUGGAGUCAUUUACAAAAUCUCAUUAAUGUUUAUGCAGUAAACAACCUAUGCGCAAAAAACCCGCUUAACGCAUGUCCGACCAGCUGAAAGGAUCGAAGUCUCAAAGAUAUCAAGAGGGGUAUUGAAUAGGCAACUAUAAAUUUUUACAAAAUCAUUGAUUUAAGGAAGUGUGGAAUUGCAAGUUCACUACCAUGAAACUAUGUGAUUCAUACUAUAUGACAAGGGUGUCAAACAUGAUGAUCUCGUUGCGUGUGUAUAGACAUGUACAAGGCAUAUACAGGAAGGGAGAUCAACACCGCCGGAGUAGUUAGUUAGCUAAAGUCUUUUAUAUCUUUAUCUCCUCUUAUCCCUAGUUUUAUUCCUUUGCAAGAUGUAUCUAUCUCAACAACCUGUACGCGUACUUGGGCUCACAACCCUUCUAUUUAACACGCAAAACGUCGGCCAUGAAGGCUAAGACGUUUACUGCAAGUCGCACAUGGUAUACAGAGCCUUCUUCUUCCACCAAAAACCCUAGCUAAUCCAUCUCCAUCAAGUGCGUAGCCAUGUCUUCCUCCUCCGCCUCCUUCCAGUUGCCGCUCAGCGGUGGAGUCCCGGAGAAGCUCUCCCGCACCAACUACGUUCUGUGGCGGACCCAGAUCACACCGCAGUUGCGGGGCGCCGACGUCUUCCACUACGUCGACGACACGGUGACUGAGCCGGCCAAGGACUGUUGGGGAACAUAGUAAUUUCAAAAAAUUUCCUACGCACACGCAAGAUCAUGGUGAUGCAUAGCAAGGAGAGGGGAGAAUGUUGUCCACGUACCCUCGUAGACCAAAAGCGAAAGCAUUAGCACAACGCGGUUGAUAUAGUCGUACGUCUUCAUGAUCCGGCCGAUCAAGUACCGAACGUACGGCACCUUCGAGUUCAGCACACGUUCAGCUCGAUGACGUCCCUCGAACUCCGAUCCAGCCGAGUGUUGAGGGAGAGUUUCGUUAGCACGACGGCGUGGUGACGAUGUUGAUGUUCUACCGACGCAGGGCUUCGCCUAAGCACCGCUACAGUAAUAUCGAGAUGGACUAUGGUGGAGGGGGGCACCGCACACGGCUAAGAGAUCAAACGAUCAAUUGUUGUGUCUAUGGGGUGCCCCCUGCCCCCGUAUAUAAAGGAGCAAGGGGGGUGCGGCCGGCCAGGGAGGAGGCGCGCCAGGAGGAGUCCUACUCCCACCAGGAGUAGGACUCCCCCUCCCCCUUUCCUAGUUGGAUUAGGACUUGGGGGAGAGUGGAGGAGAAGAAGGAAGGGGGGCGCCGCCCCCUCUCCUUGUCCUAUUUGGACUGGGGGGAGGGGCACGCGGCCCAGCCCUAGCCACCUCUCCUCUCUUCCACCUAGGCCCACUAAGGCCCAUUAAGUCCCCGGGGGUUCCGGUAACCUCCCGGUACUUCGGUAAAAUCCCGAUUUCACCCGGAACACUUUCGAUAUCCAAACAUAGGCUUCCAAUAUAUCAAUCUUCAUGUCUCGGCCAUUUUGAGACUCCUCGUCAUGUCUGGGAUCACAUCCGGGACUCCGAACAACCUUUGGUACAUCAAAACAUAUAAACUCAUAAUAUAACCGUCAUCGAAACUUUAAGCGUGCGGACCCUGCGGGUUCAAGAACUAUGUAGACAUGACCGAGACAUGUCUCCGGUCAAUAACCAAUAGCGGAACCUGGAUGUUCAUAUUGGCUCCCACAUAUUCUACGAAGAUCUUUAUCCGUCAGACCGCAUAACAACAUACGUUGUUCCCUUUGUCAUCGGUAUGUUAUUGCCCGAGAUUCGAUCGUCGGUAUCUCAAUACCUAGUUCAAUCUUGUUAUCGGUAAGUCUCUUUACUCGUUAUGUAAUACAUCAUCCCACAACUAACUCAUUAGUAGCAAUGCUUGCAAGGCUUAAGUGAUGUGCAUUAUCGAGAGGGCCCAGAGAUACCUCUCCGAUAUUCGAAGUGACAAAUCCUAAUCUCGAAAUAUGCCAACCCAACAAGUACCUUCGGAGACACCUGUAGAGCACCUUUAUAAUCACCCAGUUACGUUGUGAUGUUUGGUAGCACACAAAGUGUUCCUCCGGUAAACGGGAGUUGCAUAAUCUCAUAGUCAUAGGAACAUGUAUAAGUUAUGAAGAAAUCAAUAGCAACAUACUAAACAAUCGGGUGCUAAGCUAACGGAAUGGGUCAUGUCAAUCACAUCAUUCUCCUAAUGAUGUGACCCCGUUAAUCAAAUGACAACUCAUGUCUAUGGUUAGGAAACAUAACCAUCUUUGAUCAACGAGCUAGUCAAGUAGAGGCAUACUAGUGACAAUCUGUUUGUCUAUGUAUUCACACAUGUAUUAUGUUUCCGGUUAAUACAAUUCUAGCAUGAAUAAUAAACAUUUAUCAUGAUAUAAGGAAAUAAAUAAUAACUUUAUUAUUGCCUCUAGGGCAUAUUUCCUUCAAGGACCUCACCAGCAAGGACGCCGCUGGCAAGGAGACCAUCGAGCCGAAUCCCCUUCAUCCACUUUGGGUGAAGAAGGACCAGCAGGUCCUCGGAUACCUGCUCCAAAACCUCUCCAAGGAGGUGCUCGUCACGGUGACCACGAUCACCACGGCGCGCGAGCUCUGGGUGGCACUAGCGAGCAUGUUCUCGUCACAGUCACUCAGUUGCGAAGAGAAAUCAAUCGGUGGCCUCCUUCUUCGCCGCCAUGAGAGGUCUCGCAGAUGAACUCGCCGCGGCGGGCAAACCCAUCCAAGAUGACAAGCUCAUGUCCUACAUCAUCCACAGGUUGGACUAAGACUAUCAACCCCUUGUCUCCGCACUGGAUGCUCAUGUCACCCCGGUAACUCUUGAUGAACUUUUUGCCAUGCUCAGUAACUUUGAUCAACGCAUGGCGCAGUACCAAGGCUCCGGUGGUGGCUUCAAAUCGUAGGCCAACUCUGUGUUCAGAGGACGCGGUGGUGGCUCUCGCUCACGCCCAUCUCCCCGUGGCAAGGGGAGGUUCGGCUCCAACGGUGGUGGCUACUCCAACAACUCGCGCGGCGGCGGCCGCUUGGGAAACUCCAAAGGGUGUCGUGGUGGUGGCUCCAACAGAUCCCGCCCGGAUUUUCCCCACUGCCAACUUUGUGGCAAGCCAGGACAUACGACAAAGUAUUGUUGGUACCCCUACAAAGAAGAUGAUGGUAACUCCUCGCAAGAUGAAGAGAAAGUUGCCGCUGCGGCCGAUGGCUCCUAUGGAGUUGACACAAACUGGUACGUUGACAGCGGCGCCACCAACCACAUCACCAACGAGCUCGAGAAAGUCACCAUGAAGGAGAAGUAUCGUGGCAAGGAUCAAAUUCACACGACCAGUGGUGAAGGUAUGGGCAUACGUCACAUUGGCCAUUCAAUUUUUAAUACCCCUAGUCGUAAAAUUCAUCUCAAAAGAAUCUUGCAUGUUCCUAGUGCCCAUAAAAAUCUUCUCCCCGUUCAUAGAAUUGCCAUUGACAAUCAUGUUUUUCUCGAGUUUCAUCCUUAUUUCUUUUUGAUCAAGGAUCAGGCAAUGAGGAAAGUUCUCUAUCGAGGUAGAUGUGUUCGAGGGCUCUACCCGUUGAUUCCGGAGUUUAGAAGAUUCAAUAAACAAGCUUGUGGUGCUAUCAAGCUUUCGUCCACACGAUGGCACGAUCGUUUAGGCCAUGGCUCUUUUUCUUUGGUUGAAAAAUUACUUAGGAAAAAUAAGCUCCCAUUUGUUGGUGAGCGAAACAUUGAAACUAUUUGUCAUUGAGGGAGUCCUGGAUUAGGGGGUAUCCGGACAGCCGGAUUAUAUCCUUUGGCCGGACUGUUGAACUAUGAAGAUACAAGAUUGAAGACUUCGUCCCGUGUCCAGAUGGGACUCUCCUUGGCGUGGAAGGCAAGCUUGGCAAUACGGAUAUGUAGAUCUCCUUCCUUGUAACCGACUCUGUGUAACCCUAGCCCCCUCCGGUGUCUAUAUAAAACCGGAGGGUUUAGUCCAUAGGACCAACAACAACAAUCAUACCAUAGGCUAGCUUCUAGGGUUUAGCCUCUCUGAUCUCGUGGUAGAUCAACUCUUGUACUACUCAUAUUAUCAAGAACAAUCAAGCAGGACGUAGGGUAUUACCUCCAUCAAGAGGGCCCGAACCUGGGUAAACAUCAUGUCCCCUGCCUCAUGUUACCAUCCGCCUUAGACGCACAGUUCGAGACCUGCUACCCGAGAUCCGCCAGUUUUGACACCGACAUUGGCGCUUUCAUUGAGAGUUCCUCUGUGUCGUCACCGUUAGGGUUGAUGGCUCCUUCGAUCAUCGAUAGCGAUGUAGUCCAGGGUGAGACUUUUCUCCCCGGCCAUAUCUUUGUAUUCGGCGGCUUCGCACUGCGGGCCAACUCGCUUGGCCAUCUGGAGCAGAUCGAGAGUUACGCCCCUGGCCACUAGGUCAGGUUUGGAAGUUUAAACUACACGGCCGAUAUCUGCAGAGACUUGAUCUUCGACGGAUUCGAGCCCCUGCCGAGUGCGCCGCAUGGUCACGAUGAGCAUGAUUUAGCUCUACCAUCGGACGGUGUUUAGGAAACCGCACCGGCAACCGCUCUGACCCUCAAUUCGGAGGCAAUUGCGCCAUCCAUGGACGGGUGGAUAGACCCCGCCACGGAGGCCGUAUUCUCAGCGGUGAUCGAGCCGAGCGUUGACCUUACCCUUCACGGGAGCCGUGAUGCCGAACUGCCGGAUUUUUCCCCGGCCACGGACUCCGAACCGCCUGCGCCCGUGCCUAUCGAAUCCGACUGGGCGCCGAUCAUGGAGUUCACCUCCGCGGAUAUCUUUCAGCACUCGCCCUUCGGGGACAUACUGAACUCAUUAAGGUCUCUCUCCUUGUCAGGAGAGUCCUGGCCGAACUAUGUCCGGCAGGAUUGGGAUGCGGAUGACAAAGAAAUUCGCCGCCCACCCACCACCCACUUAGUAGCCACUGUCGAUGAUUUGACCGACACGCUCGACUUCGACUCCGAAGACAUCGGCGGUAUGGACGACGAUGCGGGAGACGAACAGGAACCACUGCCCACAGGGCACUGGACAGCCACCUCAUCAUAUGAUAUAUACAUGGUGGACACACCCAAAAAAGGCAAUGGCGACGGGACAGCGGAGGAUGACCCCUCCAAGAAGCAACCCAAGCACCGACGUCAGCGGCGCCGCUCUAAGUCUCGCCAAGGCAAAAGUGGUGAUACCGGCACAGGAGAUAAUAGCACUCCGGACAGUGCCGAAGAUGACAACAAUCCCUUCCAGCAAGAUUUAGAGCAGGAGGAUGGAGAAGCCAGCCCUCCCGAGAGAGCGGCAGAUGGAGAGGCGGAGGAUGAUAAUUACAUGCCUCCCUCCGAAGACGAGGCAAGCCUUUAUGAUGACGAAUUUGUCGUGCCUGAGGAUCCCGUCGAGCAAGAGUGCUUCAAGUGCCGGCUUAUAGCCACGACAAAUAGCCUUAAGAAAAAGCAACAGCAGCUUCAAGCUGAUCAAGAUUUACUAGCUGACAGAUGGACUGAAGUCCUUGCGGCCGAGGAAUAUGAACUCGAACGCCCCUCCAAGAGUUAUCCAAAGCGCAGGUUGCUACCCUGACUGGAGGAGGAAGCAUUAAAACCUACAUCUCCAGCGUAUGAUGCGACUGAUCGGCCACCUCGUGGCCGCGACAGAGAGGCAUUUCAGCCAAAAGCUCAGCCCGCACCCCGACGCCACUCAAAUAAAAAUGUCAAGGCAUGGGGAAACACGCUAGACCUGCAAGACGUAUUGGAGGACAAAGCAAAACACGCAAGAUCGAUCUACGGAUCACGAGGGCGCGCCACUACGCGAGACGAUAACCGUCACGCCGGAUACAGUAAAAGCAAAUCCGGCCGGACCGAACACAGCGGACAAGACUCAUUUGAGUUGCGUCGCGAUAUAGCCCAGUACAGAGGCGCCCCACACCCCCUAUGCUUCACAGACGAAGUAAUGGAUCACCAAAUCCCAGAGGGUUUCAAACCCAUAAAUAUCGAAUCAUACGACAGCACAACAGAUCCUGCGGUAUGGAUCGAGGACUUCCUCCUGCACAUCCACAUGGCCCGCGGUGACGAUCUACACGCCAUCAAAUACCUCCCACUCAAACUCAAAGGACCAGCUCGACAUUGCCUCAACAGCCCGCCAGCAGAAUCCAUUAGCUGUUGGGAAGAUCUGGAAGCCGCAUUCCUAGACAACUUCCAGGGCACUUAUGUGCGGCCACCAAAUGCCGAUGACUUGAGCCACAUAAUUCAGCAGCCAGAGGAAUCAGCCAGGCAAUUUUGGACACGGUUCCUAACAAAGAAAAAUCAAAUCGUCGAUUGUCCGGAUGCAGAGCCCUAGCAGCUUUUAAGCACAACAUCCGCGACGAGUGGCUCGCCCGAUACCUUGGCCAGGAAAAGCCGAAAUCUAUGGCAGCCCUCACGACACACAUGACCCGCUUCUGCGCGAAGAGGACAGCUGGCUGGCUCGAAGCAAUAACAUAUCAAAGAACCAUGGUACUUCGGAUACCAAGCAGAGCAAUGGCAGGUCACGUCGCAACAAACACAAGCGCCACAUCAACAACGACAAUACCGAGGACACGACAGUCAAUGCCGGAUUCAGAGGCUCUAAACCCGGUCAGCGGAAAAAGCCAUUCAAAAGAAGCACUCCGGGCCCGUCCAGUUUGGACCGUAUACUCGAUCGCUCGUGCCAAAUACACGGCACCCUCGACAAGCCAGCUAACCACACCAACAGGGAAUGUUGGGUGUUCAAGCAGGCCGGCAAGUUAAAUGCCGAAAACAAAGACAAGGGGCUACAUAGCGAUGACGAGGAAGAGCCCCGGCCGCCGAACACCAGAGGACAGAAGAGGUUCCCCCCACAAGUGCAGACGGUGAACAUGAUAUACGCAACCCACAUCCCCAAGAGGGACCGGAAGCGUACGCUAAGGGACGUAUAUGCGUUGGAGCCAGUCACCCCAAAGUUCAACCCAUGGUCCUCCUGUCCAAUCACCUUCGAUCACAGGGACCACCCCACUAGUAUCCGUCAUGGUGGAUUCGCUGCACUAGUCCUAGACCCAAUCAUUGACGGAUUUCACCUCACUCGAGUCCUUAUGGACAGCGGCAGCAGCCUGAACCUGCUUUAUCAGGACACAGUGCGCAAAAUGGGUAUAGAUCCCUCAAGGAUCAAACCCACAAAAACGACCUUCAAAGGCGUCAUACUAGGUGUAGAGGCCCAUUGCACAGGCUCAGUCACACUGGAAGUGGUCUUCGGAUCCCCGGAUAACUUCCAAAGCGAGGAGUUAAUCUUCGAUAUAGUCCCGUUCCGCAGUGGCUACCAUGCACUGCUCGGGCGAAUCGCAUUUGCGAGAUUCAAUGCGGUACCGCAUUAUGCAUACCUCAAGCUCAAGAUGCCAGGACCUCGGGGGGUCAUCACAGUCAAUGGAAACACAGAGCGCUCUCUCCACACGGAGGAGCACACUGCGGCCCUCGCAGCAGAAGCACAAAGCAGCCUCUUAAGGCAAUCCACCAGUUUGGCGAUUAAACACCCGGACACCUUCAAGAACGCCCGGAGUAAUCGGCAACAAGACCGCCUGGCACGUUCCGAGCUUGCAUAGCAAUGCGGCCCCCACCCCAGUCCCAGCCAAACGGUGAAAUCCGUGCCACGCGUACAUAAUUAUGCAUUGAAAAUACCAUGGGCAUAGGGGGGAGGGGGGCACGACUACGGCACGCCCCAAGACGCGGCUCAACCGCACUAGGGGCUUCCCGCUUUGUUAUUUUUCUCUCUUUCAGAACUUUACUCUCUGGAAACCCCGUCCGGUAGUUUGAUUGCCAGACACACGAUGCAACAACCAAGGAGGCAGAAAGCUACGUCGCACCAUGGAACUCCCAGGUGGUCUCUGAUAACGAGUAAAAUACCUGCUUUAAAUACCAUUCCCCAGCUUGCCCUUGGAGGGGACAUGUCAAAUAGUCCUACUUUUUGCUUAUCGCACUACUUGUAUCAUUCUGCUUCGACACACCUUUUUGAAUAAACAAUGCAUAGCGAUAGACUAUUACCGCAUUCUCUAUUCUUUUUUUAUAUAUGUUCAUUCAUGACAUUCGGCUCCCGUACACUCUGGUAUAGCCCAUACGCCAGGGGCUUAAGCGUACCCCAUAAUACGGCGUGAGAAGUCCGAACACUUUCGACAGUGCGGCACCCCGAACUUAUAGCAUUAUAUGCAUCAGCUCCGAAUCAUGUCUUGGGUCAAUAGUUGGCUUUUCCCGGCUCCCAUGUUUUGGUACCUUAUGUUCCGCUAUAUCGGCUAAGGUAGCACUGGGAGAACUACUGCGAUUGUGCCCCGGUUCAUCUGGGCUAAGCACCUCAGUAGAGAAAGCUAAAAUUGACUGUCAUGAUAAUGCGAGAGCUGGUCGCUGUUCGAGAGGUCUCGAGUCCCUAAAGACUUAUGCCGCUUAGAGCGAGGAGUCGGCUUUGUCCGGCUUAAGGCAUGUAUAGCGCCCCGAAUUCGGCCUUCCGAAUACUAGGGGCUUCGCCAAAAUUUAAAAUUAUAGACUUCUAUGGCUAAGUGAGAGCGGUAAAGCAUUAUAGUCCGAUUGCCUUGUUUGUUGUGCUGAGCACCUCCCUCGAAGGACCCAACAAUGGGAAAAAGAGUGCUCAGAUUUAACCCGAACACCGAGCACUCGUGGCAUGGGGGCAGAUGCCGACGACUGGCCAUCUCUCAGAUUUAAUAAACAGCCACACACAAGGUAAUAUUUUAAAUUCAAACAAGCGUUGCAUAGCGCAUAUGAACAAGUUUUCAUAAUACAGGAUCCCACGAGCAAGUUCAUUCAAAAAUUACAUCCUUCGCACACUCGUCCGCCACAAGACGGGCACCCUUUAGGACACCCUCAUAAUACAUCUUAGGGUGGCGAUGCUCCUUGCCCUGCGGCGGCCCCUCCUUCACCAGCUUCUCGGCGUCCAUCUUGGCCCAGUGCAACUUCACACGGGCAAAGGCCCGGCGUGCACCUUCGUUGCAGACGGACCGCUUUUAUGACUUCCAGUCAUGGGCAGGCAUCCACAAGCCGCCUCACCAAGCCGAAGUAGCUAUUGGGAAGGGAGUCGCCAGGCCACAUCCGGACUGUAAGGCCCCUCAUGGCCUGUUCGGCCGCCUUGUGCAGCUCGACCAGUUGCUUCAGCUGGUCGCUCACAGGCAUCGGGUGUUCGGUCCCAGUAUACUGAGACCAAAACAACUUCUCCGUCGAGCUUCCCUCCUCGGCCCGAUAGUACUUUGCGGCAUCCGACAUGCUGCGGGGCAAAUCUGCGAAUGCUCCUGGAGAGCUCCGGACUCGGGUAAGUAAUAAGUAAUUUACUUUCACAUGCUUGCUUUGCAUAAUGAAUGCCUUACUCGCCGCUAUCUUCCUCAUCGCCUCAAUUUCCUGGAGGGCCUUUUGGGCUUCACCCUGGGCAUACUUUGUGCUCUCGAGGGCCGCGGCAAGCUCGGACUCUCGCGUCUUCGAGUCAAGCUCCAAAGUCUCGUGCUUAUUCACGAGAGCCUCGAGCUCUUGCUGCACCUCGCCCACCCGUGCCUCUUGUUUCUCCCGCUCGGUGCACUCCUUGGGCGCUUUGUUUUCGGCGUCGGACAGUGUUUGCUUCAGGGUCGCCACUUCGGUCGUGGCCCCUGGCACAUCCAUGAUGAUCCUAUCAUUUUGCAACCACAUCUUAUAUAUAUAUAUAGACAAGGUAUUACUUACCUUUGUUCUCCUCGAGCUGCCUCUUGGCAAGGCCGAGCUCUUUCUCGGACCGCUCGAGGUUCUGCUUCAGUGCGGCGACCUCCACAGUCAGUGCGGCAGAGGUCAGCAGCGAAACCUGCAUACGCAUAUAGACAUACUUAUAUUAGACUCCUGCAGAUAUUAUUUGAUCCUCUAUUCGGCUUUUCUUUGUGAACACCAAACAGAGCAUUAGGGGCUACUGUCUAUGCGGUAAUAUUUUCCUAUAUUUUAAAUACUUACCUCAAAGCUUGUUAGAAUGUUGGUGUCGGUGUCAAAACCGGCGGAUCUCGGGUAGGGGGUCCCGAACUGUGCGUCUAAGGCGGAUGGUAACAGGAGGCAAGGGGCACAAUGUUUUACCCAGGUUCGGGCCCUCUUGAUGGAGGUAAAACCCUAUGUCCUGCUUGAUUAAUAUUGAUGAUAUGGGUAGUACAAGAGUAGAUCUACCACGAGAUCAGAGAGGCUAAACCCUAGAAGCUAGCCUAUGGUAUGAUUGUAUGUUGUCCUACGGACUAAAACCCUCCGGUUUAUAUAGACACCAGAGAGAUUGGGGUUACACAAGGUCGGUUACAAAGGAGGAGAUACACAUAUCCGUAUUGCCUAGCUUGCCUUCCACGCCAAGUAGAGUCCCAUCCGGACACGAGACGAAGUCUUCAAUCUUGUAUCUUCAUAGUCCAACAGUCCGACCAAAGUAUAUAAUCCGACUAUCCGGAGACCCCCUAAUCCAGGACUCCCACAGUAGCCCCUGAACCAGGCUUUCAAUGACGAUGAGUCCGGCGCGCAGUAUUGUCUUCGGCAUUGCAAGGCGGGUUCCUCCUCCGAAUAUACCACGGAAGAAUUUGAAUACAAGGAUAGUGUCCGACCCUGCAAAAUAAGUUCCACAUACCGCCGUAGAGAGAAUAAUAUUGCCACAAAUCCAAUUUGCUGACUUGUUUUGGCAACACGACAUUAUGUCAUGGCCCGGUGAUUACUCAAAUCGUUUCCUUUAACUAGCCCCGCACAUAACGCGAGGCAGUUUUUUGACAUGUCUUAUCAAAGCAGAGAUCGUGUCCCCUUAUCACGGGAUUGUCAUCAAUACGGGUGUGGGUAACCCAACCGCGCCAUUGAUUACGGCUCUUGGGGGAUAAGCGAGUUUUACCAGGCUAGUGGGGACGCUUAGUUUCGUUCGUCCAUAUAAAGGGAUAAGGAUUCACCUUUUCAUCCAUGCCUUCUUCCUCCUUUGCUCAUCCGUUUUCGCACACUCGAGCUCUAGCACCCAAGUCCACAUCCCUUCCCUCAACCUUCUCCAAACAUGUCCGGAGCGGGAGGCAGAUGGAUGGCUUACUCCGUUACGGAGGGACAUAUCAAGAAGCUGCGCAGAGCCGGAUACUUAGCCGCGAAUAUCACGCAUCGGCUGCCCGCUGCGGGGCAGAUCAUCCCUACCCCGGAACCUCACGAGAGGGUAGUUUUCCUCCACCACUUCCUCCGCGGACUGGGGUUUCCCCUCCAUCCAUUCGUCCGUGGUCUCAUGUUCUACUACGGGCUGGACUUUCAUGAUCUGGCCCCGAACUUCGUCCUCAACAUUUCGGCAUUCAUCGUCGUGUGUGAGGCUUUCCUCCGCAUCUGGCCCCACUUAGGCCUAUGGUUAAAGACCUUCAAUAUCAAGUCAAAGGUGGUAGGAGGCCAACAAGCAGAGUGCGGCGGAGCCAUGGUGGGCAAGAUGCCCAACGUUAUAUGGCUUGAAGGCUCCUUUGUGGAGACAAUAAAGGGAUGGCAAUCGGCGUGGUUCUACAUCACCGAGCCGCGCGACGCCAAAUGGGCGGCGGCCCCCGAGUUUCGAUCCGGAUUCCCUACAUGGCUCACUUCUUGGAAAGAGAAGGGCUUGUCGUGGGGUUCAUCGGUGGAGCUAGAUGGACUCCAGAAAUGUAUCCGGAGUAUGGCAAGAAAGAAGCUCAAGCUUGUCAACAUAGUCCAGGUUAUGCUCAUCCGCCGGAUCCUCCCGUGUCAACAACGGGAUUUUAACUUGUGGGAGUUCGACCCGGCCCAGCACCAGACUCUGAGCGAGCUCUUCGAUAUGAUGCACAAGGACGUCUGGAAGGUGCUGUUCAAGGGCGCCGAGGUCCCUCCUUCUCUCGCCGAGGACCGUGGACUAAGCGCAAAGCGCCUAGCGCGUUCGGUGAGUUCAACACGUCACGUAGGACAUUUAUUUCCCCUAGCUUAAUCAUGUGCGGGGUCUAAUCUCCAUGCCUUUGACAGGACUGGGUGGAGACGUCAGGGCAGAUUAACUAUCCAGCCCCUUUGCCCGAAGACACUGCGGGCGCUCUCCUGACGGAGAUGCUGACUCCAGCUGCUUACAAGGUGCCGAGGAAGACCAAGAAGGCCAAGGGAACCCGAAAGAGUUCCCGACGCCAGGCGUCGUCGGACUCACCGUCCAAUGACUCUGCGGCGCACUCCUCCCCAGAAGAAGAGGAAGAAGAAGAAGAUGCUCCCCCUCCAGUUGGGGGAGAUAAGAAAAGGAAGGCCGCCCCAACUGGGGGGGGGGCGAAGGGUCCAAGAAGGGAAGGGCUCUCCUUCCGGACAGUUCCACCGCCGCCGACGAAGGCGAAGACGAGUGGUUGCCCAGGGCCAAGCCCCUGGGGAGAUCGUAAGUAUUGGAUACCAGAGUAACUCAUAGCAUUCCUUUGUCGCACUGCUUUCCCUAACGCCGAACAUGAUUAUGCAGGCCGCCAUGAGCCAGUAUCGAUGUAUCAUCGGACGGUUCCCUGGGCUCGUCGGAUAUGGAUAGUGAUCCACUUCCGACCGCCACCUCCUCUUGCCGUACGGAUGACGCAGAGGUGCUAUCUCACGAGGCACCGGGUCGAGGGGAGACGGUCCCGGAGGCGCCUCAAGGCGGCCUCCCGGACUCCGGGAGCCGAGGGGACAAGGCCCCUGAGGGCCCCAAGUUCGGCCCUCAACCGAACACCGCGCCGGAACCUCCAGCGGUUCUGGACUCGGGCAGGCGACCUCCUUCUAAGAGGGGUAAGACGCCUGUGCCGGUGACCUCUGCCCAUCCAGAGGCGCCGGACAAUCUGCUCGAAGCGCUUCCAUCGACGAGGAGCACCGUACUAUUAUGAGUGCGGUGGUCCGGAAGGUUCAGUCCUCCAAGAGCGGAUUGACUGAAGCAUGUGCCAGCCUUCUAACAGGCUUUGAGGUAAGUGUUAAAAUAUAGGAAAAAUAUUACCGCAUAGACAGUAGCCCCUGAUGCUCUGUUCAGUGUUUACAAAGAAAAGCCAAACAGAGGAUCAAACAAUAUCGCAGGAGUCUAACUUAAGUAUGUCAAUAUGCGUAUGCAGGCUUCGCUGCUGGCCUCAACCGCACUGACUACGGAGGUCGCCUCAUUAAAGCAGGACCUCAAGGGGUCCAAGAAAGAGCUCGGCCUUGCCAAGAGGCAGGUCGAGGAGAACAAGGGUAAGUAAUACCCUGUCUGUAGAUAUGUAUAUAUAAAAGAAGACGCGAUUGCAAAAUGACAGGAUCAUCGUAUAUUUGCCAGGGGCCACGACCGAGGUGGCGACCUUGAAGCAAGCGCUAACUAAGGCCGAAGAUAAAGCGGCCAAGGAGCGCACCGAGCGAGAAAAGCAAGAGGCUCGGGUGGGCGAGGUGCAGCAAGAGCUCCAGGCUCUCGUGACGAAGCACGAGGCGUUGGAGCUUGACUCGAACACGCGAGAGUCUGAGCUUGCUGCGGCCCUUGAGAGCGCAAAAAGUGCCAAGGCCGAAGCCCAAAAGGCCCUCCAGGAGAUUGACACAAUGAAGAAGAUAGCGGCGGGUAAGGCAUUCUAUAUGCAGAGCAAGCAUGCAAAAGUAAAUUACCGAUUACUUACCCGAAUUCGGAGCUCUCCAGGAGCAUUCAUAGAUUUGCCCCGCAGCGUGUCGGAUGUCGCACAGUUUUACCAAGCCGAGGAGGGAAGCUCAACGGAGAAGCUGUUCUGGUCUCAGUAUACUGAGACCGAACACCCAAUGCCUCUGAGCGACCAGCUAAAGUAGCUGGUCGAGCUGCACAAGGUGGCCAAACAGGCCAUGAAGGGCCUUAUAGUCCGGCUGUGGCCUGGCGACGCCCUUCCGAACAGCUACUUCGGCCUGGUGAGGCGGCUUGUGGAUGCCUACCCACGGCUGGAGGUCGUCAAGCGGUCCGUCUGCAUCGAAGGUGCACGCCGGGCUUUCGCCCGUGUGAAGGUGCAGUGGGCCAAGCUAGACGCCAUGAAGCUGAUCAAGGAAGGACCACCGCAGGGCAAGGAGCAUCAUACCCCCGAAAUUUAUUAUGAGGGUGUCCUGAAGGGUGCCCGUCUUGUAGCGGACGAAUGUUCAAAGGAUGUAAUAUUUGAGUAAACUUGCUCGUGUGAUCCUGUAUGAUGAAAACUUGUUUCAUGUGCGCUAUGCAAUGCUUGUGUGAAUUUAAAAUAUUACCUUCUGUUUGGCUGUUUAUCCAAUCUGAGAGAUGGCUAGUCCUCAGCUUCUGCCCCCAUGCCACUAGUGCUGGGGUGUUCGGGAUAAACUUGAGCACUCUUGUUCCCAUGUUUGGGUCCUUCGAGGGAGGUGCUCAGCACAACGAACCAGGCAACCGGACUAAAUAAUGCUUUAUCACUCUCACUUAGCCAUAGAAUUCUAUAAUUUUAAAUUUCGGCGAAGCCCCUGGUAUUCGGAAGGCCGAGUUCGGGGCGUGAUACACGCCUUUAAGCCGAAUAGGGCCGGCCCCUCGCUCUAAGCGGCAUAAGUCUUUACGGACUCGAAAACCUCACCGAACAGCGACCAGUCUCUCGCCUUAUCAUGACAAUCCGUUUUAGCUUUCUCUACUAAGGUGCUCAACCCAGCAGAACCGGGGCACAAUAGCAAUAGUUCUCCUAGCGCUACCUUAGUCGAUAGAGCGGAACGUAAGGUACCAAAACAUAGGAUCCGGGCAAACCCAACAUUUGACCAAAGACAUGAUUCGGAGCUGAUGCAUAUAAUGCUAUAAGUUCGGGGUGCCGCACUUUUGAAAGUGUUCGGACUUUUCACACCAUAUUGCGGGGUAUGUAAGCCCCUGGUGUAUUGGUCGUACCAAAGUGUACGGUUGCAAGGCGUCAUUAAUGAACACAUAUAUAUAACAAGAAUGCAAUAAUAGUCGGAAUGUUAUGCAUUGUUUAUUCAAAAAGGUGCGUUUAAAGCAGAAUGAUACAGAUGGUGCGAUAAGCAAAGAGUAGGACUAUGUCCCUUCCAAGGGCAAGCUGAGGAACAUUAUUAAAUCAAAUAUUUCGCUCGUUAUUGUAAUCCACCUAGGAAUUUCGUGGUGUGACGUAGCUUUCUGCCUCCUUGGUUGCUGCAUCAUGUGUUCGGCGAUAGUGCUGCCGGACAGGGUUUCCAGAGAUUAAGGUCCUGAAAAAGAGAAAAAUAACCAAACGGGAAGCCCCUAGUGCGGUUUAAGCCGCGUCUUGGGGCGUGUCGCAGUGUGUCCCCCCUCCCCACCUGUGCCCAUGGUAUUUUUAAUGCGUAAUUAUGUACGCGUGGCAUGAGUUCCGCCGUUCGGCUGGGACCGGGGUGGGGGCCGCAUUGCUACACGAGCUCAGAUUGCUCCAGGCGGUCUAGUUGUCGAUUGCUCCAAGCGCACUUGGAGGUGUCCGGGUCUAGAAAUGCCGAACUGGUGGAUUGCCUUGAGAGGCUGCUUUGUGAUUCUGCCGCGAGGGCCGCGGUGUGCUCCUCCGUUCGGACAGAGCGUUCUGUGUUUCCAUUGACUGUAAUAACCCUGCGAGGUCCUGGCAUCUUGAGCUUGAGGUACGCAUAAUGUGGUACCGCAUUGAAUCUCGCAAAUGCGGUUCGCCCGAGCAGUGCAUGAUAACCACUGCGGAACGGGACUAUAUCGAAGAUUAACUCUUCACUUCGGAAGUUAUCCGGGGAUCCGAAGACCACUUCCAGUGUAAUUGAGCCUGUGCAAUGGGCCUCUACGCCUGGAAUGACGCCUUUAAAGGUUGUUUUUGUAGGUUUGAUCCUUGAGGGGUCUAUACCCAUUUUGCGCACUGUGUCCUGAUAAAGCAGGUUCAGGCUGCUGCCGCCAUCCAUAAGGACUCGAGUGAGGUGAAAUCCGUCAAUGAUUGGGUCCAGAACCAGUGCGGUGAAUCCGCCAUGACGGAUACUAGUGGGAUGGUCCCUGCGAUCGAAAGUGAUUGGAUAGGAGGACCAUGGGUUGAACUUUGGGGCGACUGGCUCCAACGCAUAUACGUCCCUGAGCGCACGCUUCCGCUCCCUCUUGGGGAUGUGGGUUGCGUAUAUCAUGUUCACCGUCCACACUUGUGGGGGAAACCUCUUCUGUCCUCCGGUGUGUGGCUGCCGGGGCUCCUCCUCGUCAUUGCUAUGUGGCCCCUUGUCCUUGUUUUCGGCAAUUAACUUGCCGGCCUGCUUGAACACCCAACAAUCCCUGUUGUUGUGAUUGGCUGGCUUUUUUGGGGUGCCAUGUAUUUGACACGAGCGAUCGAGUAUACGGUCCAAGCUGGACGGACCUGGCGUACUUUGUUUGAAUGGCUUUUUCCGCUGACCGGGUUUAGAGCCUUUGAAUCCGGCAUUGACUGCCGUAUCCUCGUUAUUAUCACUGUUAAUGCGGCGUUAUGUUUGUUGCGACGUGACCUGCUAUUGCCGUCCUUGGUAUCCGAAGUACCAUGGUUCUUUGAUAUGUUAUUACUGCGAGCCAGCUAGCUGUCUUCUCCCGCACAAAAGCGGGUCAUGAGUGUCGUGAGGGCUGCCAUAGAUUUCGGCUUUUCCUGACCAAGGUGCCGGGCUAGCCAUUCGUCCGGAUGUUGUGUUUGAAAGCCGCUAGGGCCUCUGCAUCCGGACAGUCGACAAUUUGAUUUCUUUGUUAGGAACCGAGUCCAGAAUUGCCUGGCCGAUUCUUCUUGCUGCUGAAUUAUGUGGCUCAAGUCAUCGGCAUCUGGUGGCCGCACAUAAGUGCCCUGAAAGUUGUCGAGGAACGCGGCUUCCAGAUCUUCCCAACAGUUGAUGGACUCGGCUGGCAAGCUGUUAAGCCAAUGCCGCGCUGGUCCCUUGAGCUUUAGUGGGAGGUAUUUGAUGGCAUGUAAGUCAUCACCGCGGGCCAUGUGGAUGUGGAGGAGGAAAUCCUCGAUCCAUACUGCGGGAUCUGUUGUGCCGUCGUAUGAUUCAAUAUUUACAGGUUUGAAACCUUCUGGGAUUUGAUGAUCCAUUACUUCGUCUGUGAAGCAUAAGGGGUGUGUGGCGCCUCUGUAUUGGGCUAUAUCGUGAUGCAGCUCGAAUGGGUCUUGCCCGCUGUGUUCGGCCCAGCCGGAUUUACUUUUACUGUAUCCGGCGUGACGUUUAUCGUCUCGCAUAGUGGCGCGCCCUCAUGAUCCGUAGAUCGAUCUUGCAUGCUUUGCUUUGCCCUCCAAUAUGUCUCACAGGUCUGGCGUAUCUCCCCAUGCCUUGUUGUUUAAGUGGCGUCGGGGUGCAGGCUGAGUUUUUGGCUGGAAUGCUUCUCUAUCGCGGCCACGAGGUGGCCGAUCAGCCGCGUCAUCCGCUUCUUCCUCCAGUUGGGGUAGCAACCUGCACUUUGGGUAACUCUUGGAGGGGCGCUCGAGUUUAUAUUCCUCGGCCGCGAGGACUUCAGUCCAUCUGUCAGCUAGCAGAUCUUGAUCAGCUUGAAGCUGCUGCUGCUUUUUCUUAAGGCUAUUUGUCGUGGCUAUAAGCUGGCAUUUGAAGCACUCUUGUUCGACGGGAUCCUCUGGCAUGGCGAAUUCAUUGUCGCCGAGGCUUGCCUCGCCUUCGGAGGGGGGCAUGUAAUUAUCAUCCUCCGCCUCUCCAUCUGCCGCUCUCUCAGGAGGGCUCUCUCCUCCAUCCUCCUGCUCUAAAUCUUGCUGGAGGGGAUUGUUGUUGUCUUCGGCACUAUCUGGAGUGUUAUUAUCUCCUGUGCCGGUAUCACCACUUUUCCUUUGGCGGGACUUAGAGUGGCGUCGUUGACGUUGGCGCUUGGGUUGCUUCUUGGAGGGGUCAUCCUCCGCUAUCUCAUCGCCAUUGCCUUCUUUGGGUGUAUCCACCAUGUAUAUAUCAUAUGAUGAGGUGGCUGUCCAGUGCCCUGUGGGCAGUGGUUCCUCUUCAUCUCCCGCAUGGUUGUCCAUACCAUCGAUUUCUUCGGAGUCGAAGUCGAGCAUGUCAGUUAAGACAUCGACAGUGGCUACUAAGUGGGUGGUGGGUGGGUCGUGAAUUUCUUCGUCGUCCGCAUCCCAGUCCUGUCGGACAUAGUUCGGCCAGGAUACUCCUGACAAGGAGAGAGACCUUAAUGAGUUCAGUGUGUCGCCAAAGGGUGAGUGCUGAAAAAUAUUCGCGGAGGUAAACUCCAUGAUCGGCGCCCAAUCGGAUUCGAUAGGAACGGGCGCAGGCGGCUCAGAGUCCAUGGCCGGAGAAGGAUCUGGCAGUUUAACAACAUGGCUCUCGUGCAAGGUAAGGUCGAUGUUUGGCUCGAUCGUCGCUGAGGGUAAGGCCUCCGUGGCGGGGUCCAUCCAGCCAUCCAUGGACGGUGCAACUGGCUCCGAAUUGAGGGUCGGAGCGGCUGCCUGUUUGAUCUCCUGAACACUAUCCGAUGGUAGAGCUAAAUCGUACUCAUCGUGACCGCGUGACGCACAAGGCAGAGGCUCAAAUCCGUCGAAGAUCAAGUCUCCACGGAUAUCGGCCGUGUAGUUUAAGCUUCCAAACCUGACCUGGUGGCCAGGGGCAUAACUUUCAAUCUGAUCCAGAUGGCCAAGCGAAUUGGCCCGCAGUGCAAAGCUGUCGAACACGAAGAUCUAUCCGGGGAGAAAAGUCUCACCCUGGACUGCAUCGCUAUCGAUGAUAGUAGGAGCCAUCAAGCCUAACGGUGACGACACAGAGGAACUCUCAAUGAAAGCACCAAUGUUGGUGUCAAAACCGGCGGAUCUCGGGUAGGGGGUCCCGAACUGUGCGUCUAAGGCGGAUGGUAACAGGAAGCAAGGGACACAAUGUCUUACCCAGGUUCAGGCCCUCUUGAUGGAGGUAAAACCCUACGUCCUGCUUGAUUAAUAUUGAUGAUAUGGGUAGUACAAGAGUAGAUCUACCACGAGAUCAGAGAGGCUAAACCCUAGAAGCUAGCCUAUGGUAUGAUUGUAUGUUGUAGUUGGUGUGUCCUACGGACUAAAACCCUCUGGUUUAUAUAGACACCGGAGAGGGCUAGGGUUACACAAGGUCGGUUACAAAGGAGGAGAUACACAUAUCCGUAUUGCCUAGCUUGCCUUCCACGCCAAGUAGAGUCCCAUCCGGACACGAGACGAAGUCUUCAAUCUUGUAUCUUCAUAGUCCAACAGUCCGGCCAAAGUAUAUAAUCCGGCUGUCCGGAGACCCCCUAAUCCAGGACUCCCACAUCUGGCACAGACUUCAGUCAGUCCGCUCUUGGCGGACCGAACCUUCUUGAUCACCGCACUCAUAAUAGUGUGGUGCUCUUCGUCGAUGGAAGCGCCGCGAAGCGCUCCCAGCAGGUUGUCUGGUGCCUCUGGAUGGACAGAGGUCACCGGCACGAGCGGCUUGCCCCCCUUGGUAGGGGGCCUCCUACCGGAGUCCGGAACCACUGGAGGUUCUGGCGCGGUGUUCGGCUGAGGGCUGAACUUGGAGCCCUUGGGAGUCUUGCUCCCUUUGCGCCUGGAGUCCGGAAGGUUGCCUUGAGGCGCCUCCAGGACUACCUCCCCUCGGUUCGGUGCCCCUUGAGACAAUACCUCGACAUUGUCCGUAGGGCGAGGAGAGGAGGCGGAUGGAAGUGGAUCGCUAUCCAUAUCCGACGAGUCCAAGGAACCGUCCAACGAGGAUACGUCGAUACGGGCUCGGGGCGGACUGUAUGAUCAUAUUCGACGUUAGGAGAAGCUGUGCAACAAAAGUAUGCUAUGAGUUACUCUGGUAUCUGAAUACUUACGACUUUGCCAGGGGCUUGGCCCUGAGUAACCACUCAUCUUCGCCAUCAGCGGCGGUGGUGGAACAGUCCGGAAGGAGAGUCCUUCCCUUCUUGGACCCUUCGGCCUCCCCGGUUGGGGCGGCUUUCCUUUUCUUGUAGCCCCCGGCUGGAGGGGGAGAAUCUUCAUCUUCCUCCUCCUCGUUUUCAUGGGAGGAGUGCGUCUCAGAGUUAUCGGACGAUGAGUCCGAUACCAGAUGGCGCCGGGAACUCUUUCGGGUUCCCGUGGCCUUCUUCUUGGUCUUCUCUGGCACCUCAUAAGGAGCUGGAGUCCGCAUCUCCGUUAGGAGAGCGUCUGCGGGGUCUUCGGGCAGAGGGGCCGGACAGUUAAUCUGCUCCGAUGUCUCCACCCAGUCCUGUCAAAUGCGUGGGAGCUCAGACCCCGCACAUGGUUAAGCUAUGGGAAAUAAAUACCCUACCAGAUGUACAGAACUUACCGGAUUCGCAGGGCGCUUCACGCUUAGCCCGCGGUCCUCAGUAAGAGAAGGAGGGACCUCGGCGCCCUUAAACAGCACCUUCCAGACGUCCUUAUGCGUCAUGUCGAAGAGCUCGCGUAGAGUCUGGUGCUGCGCCGGGUCGAACUCCCAUAAGUUGAAAGCCCGUUGUUGACACAGGAGGAUCCGGCGGAAAAGCAUGACCUAGACUAUGUUGACAAGCUUAUGUUUCUUGCUUAUCAUGUUCCGGACACACUUCUGGAGUCCGUCUAGCUCCACCGAUGAGCCCCAGGACAGGCCCUUCUCCUUCUAGGAAGUGAGCCGCGUGGGGAUUCCGGAUCGAAACUCGGGGGCCGCCACCCAGAUGGUGUCGCGCGGCUCGGUGAUGUAGAACCACCCCGAUUGCCACCCCUUUAUGGUCUCCACGAAGGAGCCCUCGGGCCAUGUAACGUUGGGCAUUUUUCUCACCAUGGUUCCGCAGCAUUCCACUUGUUGGCCGCCUACUACCUUCGGCUUGAUAUUAAAGGUCUUCAGCCACAGGCCGAAGUGGGGCCGGAUGCGGAGGAAAGCCUCGCACACGACGAUGAACGCCGAGAUGUUGAGGAUGAAAUUCAGGGCCAGAUCAUGAAAGUCCAGCCCAUAAUAGAACAUAAGGCCAUGGACGAACGUAUGGAGGGGAAACCCCAUUCCACGGAUGAAGUGGGGGAGGAAAACCACCCUUUCGUAAGGUUUCAGGGUGGGGACGAUCUGCCACAUGGUUGAUAGCCGGUGCGCGAUGUCCGCGGCUAAGUAUCCGGCCCCACGUAGUUUUUUGAUGUGUCCCUCCGUGACGGAGGAGACCAUCCACUUGCCUCCCGCUCCGGACAUGUUUGGAGAGAGUUGAGGAGAAGGAUGUGGACUUGGGCGCUGGAGCUCGAGUGCGCGAGAAUGGAUGAGCAAGGAGGAAGAAGGCGUGGGUAGAAAAAGGUGAAACCUUAUCCCUUUAUAAGGGCGGACGAAACUAUGCGCCCCCACCAGCCUGGUAAAACUCGCUUAUCCCACAAGCGCCAUAAUUGAUGGCGCGGUUGGGUUACCCACGUCCGUAUUGAUGGGAACCCCGUAAUAAGGGGACAUGAUCUCUGCUUCGACAAGACGUGCCAAGGAAACCGCCUCGCGAAACACGCUGAGAUAGGUUAUGAAAAACGAUUCGAAUAAAGACCUGGCUGUGGUGUGAUGCCAUGCUACGGGGUACGUCAGCAGAUUAGAUUUGUGGAAAUAUUAUUCUCUCUACGGUGGUAUGUGGAACUUGUUUUGCAGAGCCGGACACGAUCUUCGUGUUCCAAAUCUUCUAUGAAGUAUUCGGAGGAGGAACCCGCCUUGCAAUGCCGAAGACAAUCUGCGCGCCGGACUGAUCGUCAUUGAAGCCUGGUUCAUGGGCUACUGAGGGAGUCCUGGAUUAUGGGGUAUCCGGACAGCCGGAUUAUAUCCUUUGGCCGGACUGUUGGACUAUGAAGAUACAAGAUUGAAGACUUCGUCCCGUGUCCAGAUGGGACUCUCCUUGGCGUGGAAGGCAAGCUUGGCAAUACGGAUAUGUAGAUCUCCUUCCUUGUAACCGACUCUGUGUAACCCUAGCCCCCUCCGGUGUCUAUAUAAACCGGAGGGUUUAGUCCAUAGGACCAACAACAACAAUCAUACCAUAGGCUAGCUUCUAGGGUUUAGCCUCUCUGAUCUCGUGAUAGAUCAACUCUUGUACUAGUCAUAUUAUCAAGAACAAUCAAGCAGGAUGUAGGGUAUUACCUCCAUCAAGAGGGCCCGAACCUGGAUAAACAUCGUGUCCCCUGCCUCUUGUUACCAUCCGCCUUAGACGCACAGUUCGGGACCCCCUACCCGAGAUCCGCCGGUUUUGGCACUGACAGUCAUUCAUGUCAGUGUGCUAAAAGUCAUCAAUUACCGUACCCUAUAUCUACUAGUGUCUACAUCAAACCUUUGCAAUUGAUCUUUUCUGGUGUGUGGGGGCCUGCCCCCUCCUCUGUUGGUAGACACACGUAUUAUGUGAGUUUCAUCGAUGACUAUAGAAAAUUUUCAUGGAUCUAUCUCCUCAAGGUGUGUUCCAAGUUUUUCAGAACUUUCAAGCACUUGUUGAAAGAAAGUUCGACAGUAAGAUUCUUGCUGUCCAGUCUGAUUGGGGAGGGGAAUACGAGAAACUCAAUUCCUUCUUCCAAAGCAUAGGAAUAUCUCACCAUGUAUCAUGCCCGCAUGCUCACCAACAAAACGGGUCGGCCGAACGCAAGCCUACGCACAUUGUCGAGGCUGGCUUGGCCCUCCUAGCCGGAGCAUCCAUGCCCCUCAAGUUCUGGGAUGAGACUUUUCUGACAGCUGUUCAUAUUAUCAACAUGUUACCUAGCCGUUUUAUCAACAAUGAAACACCCAUGGAACGUCUCCUCCACACAAAACCAGACUACACCUCUCUCCGUGUUUUGGUUGUGCUUGUUGGCCAAAUCUUCGUCCAUACAACAAAUGCAAGCUCAUGUUUAGAUCAAAACAGUGUGCCUUCCUUGGUUAUAGUGCCCAACACAAAGGUGUCAAGUGUCUUGACAUCUCCACUGGUAGGGUUUACAUCUCUCGUGAUGUUGUUUUUGAUGAGAGCAAGUUCCCCUUUGUGGAUCUCCAUCCUAACGUCGGCGCACUCCUCCGCAAAGAAAUUUUGUUCCUACCUUCUCAUCUUUCUGGCUAUGAUUAAGGGGGUAUUACAAAUUGUGAUGAUCAUAUGUUGACUAACCCUACUAAUAGUCUCCAUGAGCCUUGUGAUGAUGCAAAAAACAACAAAAACGGACCAACAUGUCCUUAUUUCAUGUGUCCUGGUCCAGGGGACAGAUCCUCCUCGGGAUCGGAGCAAGCGCUGCAGACGCGCAGCCGAUCUUCCCCGAGACCCGCGCCUGGCAGCGAAUCUACCGCGCCAGUCCCGACAGACGCAGGAGGGCAUGCGGACGCCUCAGGAGGGCGUGCAGGCAAGUCCGCGUCAGCCACACGGCAGAGCCUAGUGGGCCGCAAUGCCUCCUCUCUCGCGCGCAAACCAUCGCCCGACAGGUGGCAGGCUGGUUCUGGUCUGGGCUGGGUCCAGCAAGACGGCCAACUGCGCGUUUACAAGCGGCGCGCCACUACUGGUUCAGUGGAUGCGGGGGCAGGCUCUGUCAGCCCAGGGUCCAGGCAGCAAUCUUUGGGCCAUGAUGACGCGCCCCAGCCCAGAUCCUAUGUGGCCAACUCAUCGCUUGCACCACGCGCCAUGGCCGCAGAAAAUCCGAACCCGACAUCGCCUGCUCACGCUGCAGAUUCUGGAGCCCUGCAUGGAUCUUCCUCGGGAUCAGGAUAGGAUCAGCCCGAUCCAGACCUUGGAUCCUCUGUGUUGGGGUGCUCUGUAGAGGCUCCUGUUGCUACUCCGCGCCGAACAUGACUUAAACAAGGGGUAAUUAAACCUAUUGAUUAUAAGCAUGUUACAAAAUAUGGGCUAGUGUGUUCAACAGGUGAACCAGGAGAACCCAAUACUCUUGAAGAUGCUUUGGGUGAUGCACGUUGGAAAAAAGCAAUGAAUGAUGAAAUCAUGGCACUUAGGAAAAACAGAACAUGUCAUUUGGUUCCUCCACAACAAGGUAAAAACUUAUUGACUGUAGUGGUUCUUUAGGAUAAGAAGGAAAGCUGAUGGAACCAUUGACCGUUAUAAAGCCAGACUCAUUGCAAAGGGCUUUAAACAACGGUAUGGUAUUGACUAUAAGGACACGUUUAGUCCAGUUGUGAAAGCUGCUACUAUUCGUCUUGUUUUGUCCAUUGCUGUGUCCAGGGGAUGGAGUUUAAGUCAGCUAGACGUUCAUAACGCGUUCCUCCAUGGUGUUCUGGAAGAAGAGGUUUACAUGAAACAACCACCUGGGUUUGCAAAUGCACGUGCACCACUUCAUGUGUGCAAGCUUGACAAGGCAUUGUAUGGACUGAAACAGGCCCCAAGAGCAUGGUAUUCUCGUCUCGGUAAAAAGAUGCAAGCACUUGGCUUUGUUCCUUCAAAGUCUAACACCUCGUUAUUUAUCUAUAACAAGUCAAGUAUAUCCAUAUUUGUUCUCAUAUAUGUUGAUGAUAUAAUUGUGACAAGUUCAUCUGAUGAAGCAAUAACAACACUGUUGAAGGAUUUGAGUGCAGAAUUUUCUCUCAAGGAUCUAGGAAAUCUACAUUAUUUUCUUGGUAUUGAGGUCAAGCAACACAAGGAUGGUCUUCACCUCUCUCAAGAAAAGUAUGCAACGGACUUAGUAAAAAAGGCUGGUUUGCAAAGCUGUAAGCCUACACCCACUCCUUUAUCUAGUACAGAAAAAUUGUCCCUUACUGAAGGAGAGCUCCUAAGUUCAGAAAAUGGUACAAAAUACAGAAGUCUGGUAGGUGCACUUUAGUACUUAACACUGACCAGACCAGACAUUUCCUUUGCUGUUAACAAAGUAUGUCAGUUUCUCCAUGCACCUACCACUGUUCACAUGACUGCUGCAAAACAUAUAGUAAGAUAUGUGAAAAAUACAUUGAGCAUUGGUCUAAAUUUCAGCAAGUCAUCCUCUACACUUAUCAGUGCCUUCUCUGACUCAGAUUGGGCUGGGUGUCUAGAUGACAAACGCCCAACUGGUGGUUUUGCAGUAUUCUUUGGACCUAAUUUGAUAUCUUGGAGUGCAAGGAAGCAAGCUACAGUUUCAAGAUCCAGUACAAAAGCAGAAUACAAAGCUUUGGCCAAUGCAACAACAGAGAUCAUAUGGGUGCAGUCAAUUUUAAAGGAACUAGGUAUGAAAAGCACUAGAGCUCCAUGUUUGUGGUGUGACAAUCUAGGUGCUACCUAUUUAUCAGCAAAUCCAGCCUUUCAUGCUAGAACUAAACACAUUGAGAUAGACUUUCACUUUGUUCGAGAAAGAGUUGCGAAUAAACUCUUGGAUAUUCAGUUUAUUCACUCUCAAGACCAGGUUGUGGAUGGUUUCACCAAAGCUCUACCCACAAGAAGUUUUGAAGACUUCAAACAUAAUAUCAACUUGAUGAAGUUGUGAUUAAGGGAGGGUGUCAAACAUGAUGAUAUGGUUGCAUGUGUAUAGACAUGUACAAGGCGUAUACAGGAAGGGAGAUCAACACCGCCGGAGUAGUAGUUAGUUAGCUAAAGUCUUUUGUAUCUUUAUCUCCUCUUAUCCCUAGUUUUCUUCCUUUGCAAGAUGUAUCUAUCUCAACAACAUGUACGCGUACUUGGGCUCACAACCCUUCUAUUUAACACGCAACACAUCGGCCAGGAAGGCUAAGACGUUUACCACAAGUCACACAAAGGGAGCUCUAGCAAGAAAUAUUAAACAAGGUAAACAAGCUACAAUUGCACUAAGCAUAAAUCAACUAAGAGGAUAUAAAUAAUCAAAAUGGGACCACAGAAAGACUACGAUAUUGCUCGAAGUUUAAGUCCUUGAGGUUCUAAUCUCUGUUGGAGAUACAUGGGACACCAAGGCACCAACAACCACAGAAACAUAGCGUUACUCUCCUUGAGCUUUGGCCACGAAUCCAAGCUCAACCACUAAGGGCUGAGCUUGAAGUAAUUUUCGGCCUUCACAAACUAACCUUGGAAUAAUCCACAGCCUGGAAGAUCCCAGGAGACUCCAACCUUCUAAGAGUCCCCAGAAAUCCCACAGAAGUUGAACAACUGAUGCUCCUAUGUUUAAACAGACAUUUAGAAGAAUUCUAUAGUGAGGGAAAGGGUGAAGAGAACCUAUGAUUGAGUCCACUCUACCAGAUCUUCCCACAUUGGCCAAAGGAAUGGAAAGCCAGCCUGAUUCGCCUACAUUCUGGAACAAGAAGAAAGUCGAUCUCAAACCCAUUCUUGGAGCCUGAUUCACCUACAUUCUAGACAAGUCAAAGAUGGAUUGCAGAGGAUACACAUAGCUAAACAAGGCAUUUUGUACAUGCUCAGCUGCAGCGAGCAACAUUGAAACAGUUACAACUUCAGUAGUAGUUCCUACUGAAAUGAUAAGUUUUGUGCAGCUUUAGUAGUAGUUCCUUCAGUGAGCAGCAUAAGUUAGAUAAUAGUUAACCGGCCAAAAAGACAAUUACUACAUACAGUUCACAAGAACGACACACAAGCAACAAUCUAGUUUGUAGGAAUAGGAUUUUUUUGAGGGAAGGCCCAUAGGAAUAGGAAUUCUGUUGCCUAAAACGUUGGAGUUUUCCUUAUAUUCAAGGGAGCAGAAACAGAGAGAGCGAGAAAGAUGGGCUUGAUUGAAUACGUUCGUGACAUCCCCUGCCAUCCAGCUUCUGCGUCCACUAUGCCCAUGACUCAGCUCCACAUCAUGCUUGUGUAACACCCCUGUCCAGAUCGAGAGGAUCGGAGUAGGCUUGGAGAGGGGAUCAGAGAGGUAGGUGGGAUACUUGGAGAAGAGGGUGAGGAACGAGAGAAAGAGGAUGAGUCAAUCAGUCCAUUUCAUACAGCCUGUCGAUCUCAGGAUCGCCUUCAGGGUUAAGUACAGACACGCCUGGCCCGUGGCCAACUCACACACGCACUCCUGACCCUGUGACCCACCGGUCAGCUACCACACUUUCUCCUACACGCUAGGGCCUGCUUGACAGUCACACCAUGGCUGGUGUGACACUCUCCCUGUCUCCAGAACGAGCGUCCUCGCUCGAGUCUUGAUGGUUCUAGAUUGGAGCAGCCGGAAAGUGUCGACAGAGAACAUCGUAAUCCUCCCAUGUCGUCGCUGUUGCUGGUUUGUCCCACUUCACAUGGAGCUGAACCACGGAAGCAUUGCCUCGUUUCAUCAUCCACCUGUCCAAGAUAGCCACAGGUGUAGUAUCCACUAUCGUCAGAUCCCCUGUGCUGGGAAGUUCAGAGAACACUGGCGAGUAGUUUGGAGUGAAUGGUUUCAGCUGGGAUAUAUGGAAGACUAGAUGUAUGCGGCUGUCUUGGGGCAAGUCCAGCCUGUAUGCCAGGUUCCCAAUCUUGUCCAAGAUCUUGAAGGGGCCAAAGAACUUGUAGACCAAUUUUGCACAAGGCCUGCUCGCCACCGAUUUCUGAACAUGAGGCUGCAGUUUUAGAAGCACUUGUUCCCCAAUCUGAAAGGAACGUUCAGUCCUGUUGAUGUCUGCAUAUUUCUUGAACCUCUUCUGGGCGCGUUCCAGCUGCGCCCGCAGGUUGUCUGUAUGCACUGCCCAGUCCCAUUCCUCGCCGUCUGGCAUGAUGGGAGGGGUAUGUUGCCAAGCUCCCAUGUUGCCUAUAUUAGCUUCCACCCCAUAUAGUGCUUUGAAAGGAGAACAAUGCAGAGAGGCAUGCUAUGAAGAGUUGUACUAGAAUUUUGCUAAGGGGAGCCAUUUGCGCCAUUGUCGCGGUGUGUCGUGAACCGCACACCGUAAGUACAUUUCCAUGCACUGGUUGACGUGUUCAUGUAGGAUCUAGAAGUAGAUGUGUCUAGAGGGGGGGUGAUUAGACACUUAGUGCUAAAGUUGCAAUUUUUAGGCCUUUUUGGUUUGAGUGGAGUUUUAGGCACAAUUUCAACAUACACAAUACAUAUCAAGCAAGCAUGCAAAGAGUAUAUGAGCAGCGGAAUGUAAAGCAUGCAACUUGCAAGAAUGUAAGGGGAAGGGUUUGGAGAAUUCAAACGCAAUUGGAGACACAGAUGUUUUUCCCGUGGUUCGGAUAGGUGGUGCUAUCCUACAUCCACGUUGAUGGAGACUUCAACCCACGAAGGGUAACGGUUGCGCGAGUCCACAGAGGGCUCCACCCACGAAGGGUAAUGGUUGCGCGAGUCCAUGGAGGGCUCCACCCACGAAGGGUCCACGAAGAAGCAACCACCCACGAAGGGUCCACGAAGAAGCAACCUUGUCUAUCCCACCAUGGCCAUCGCCCACGAAGGACUUGCCUCACUAGCGGUAGAUCUUCACGAAGUAGGCGAUCUCCUUGCCCUUACAAACUCCUUGGUUCAACUCCACAAUCUUGUCGGAGGCUCCCAAGUAACACCUAGCCAAUCUAGGAGACACCACUCUCCAAGAAGUAACAAAUGGUGUGUAGGUAAUGAACUCCUUGCUCUUGUGCUUCAAAUGAUAGUCUCCCCAACACUCAACUCUCUCUCAUAGGAUUUGGAUCUGGUGGAAAGAAGGUUUGAGCGGAAAGCAACUUGGGGAAAGCUAGAGAUCAAGAUUCAUGUGGUAGGAAUGGAAUAUCUUGGCCUCAACACAUGAGUAGGUAGUUCUCUCUCAGAAAUAGGAUGCUGGAAGUGUAGGCUUAGUCUGAUGGCUCUCUCUACGAAUGAAGAGGAGGUGGAGGGGUAUAUAUAGCCUCCACACAAAAUCCAACCGUUACACAUGAUUUACCAAUCUCGGUGGGACCGAAUCAACAAACUCGGUCAGACCGAAAUAGGAAACCUAGUGACCGUUAGAGAUUUUCGGUGGGACCGACUGGAUCAACUCGGUGGGACCGAUGUGCUAGGGUUAGGGUAAAUCCAAAACUCGGUUUGACCAAUUACUCAAACUCGGUGGGAUCGAUUUGGGUAAUAAGUGAAACAGAGAGUUGGCCAAGCAAACUCGGUGGGGCCGAUUGCAUAUCUCGGUGGGACCGAAAAUAUUGCAAUAGGUAACAGAGAGUUUGCAAGCCCAUCUCGGUGAGACCGAGAUCCCAUCGGUGAGACCGAACUGAUUAGGGUUUCUGGCAGUGGCUAUGACAGGUGAAACUCGGUGGCGCCGGAUAGGAAUAAUCGGUAGGUCCGAGUUUGGCUUUGGGUUUAGGUCAUAUGUGGAAGUGGGAAAGUAGCUGAGGAUUUUGGAGCAUAUCAUUAAGCACAUGAAGCAAGAGGCUCAUUAAGCAACACCUCAUCGCUCCUUGAUAGUAUUGGCUUUUCCUAUGGACUCAAUGUGAUCUUGGAUCACUAAAAUGUAAAAUGAAGAGUCUUGAGCUUGAAGAUUUAGCCAAUCCUUUGUCCUUAGCAUCUUGAAGGAGUUCCCACAACCUUUAGUCCAUGCCACUCCAUUGUUGAACUUAUCUGAAACAUGCUAGAUAGAAAUGUUAGUCCAACAAGAGAUAUGUUGUCAUCAAUUAUCAAAACCACCUAGGGAGCACUUGUGCUUUCAAUCUCCCCCUUUUUGAUAAUUGAUGGCAACAUACAUCAAAGCUUUAGAUAAAGAUAUAAAGAACAGCAAGUAAAGCUUUGGAAGGACAUGUAACAAGCAUAGGCUCCCCCUACAUGUAUGCACUCAUGUAAAUAUGAAAUAUAGAGGCAUGUGAGAGCAUAACCAUGACAGAGUAGGCAAUGUGUUACAUGUAUCUUGGCCAUAUGCAUCAGAGCAAAAGAUUAUCAAGGAAAAUACCUUCAUGCUCAUGAGUCCUUCUUGCAAACAGUAUGUACAUAAGCAAGAACUCCUCAUACUCAUGAUUUUGAUGCAUAUACUUACCUUGUGGUCUUGAGUUGGCUUAGGAUGGAAUGAACCUGCACAAACAAAGUUAGAUAACACAGGUACAUCCACUAGCCAGAGCAAACAAAAGAAACCACAAGAAUACCAAGACUGGGAUGACAUGUAGAGAGUGAGUACAAGGUACCACAUUGGAUUCAACAUGUCCCCAAGAAUAAAGAUAUGCAAUGAAUUUGACUGAUUUCUUUCCCUUAGGUGUCUUGCUCCCCCAGAAUCUUACAUGGGAUAUUGGGAGAAGAUAAGGAACAGCAAAUCAGAGCUGAAAGAUACAAAUGAACAUGUCUUUCCCCCUAAAAAGACAUGUGACAUCUCUCCUCUUGAACAUCAAGCAUCAAGCAUCUGGGACAUCUGGGAUCCUUGAGUAUUCUCUCCCCCUGGAAGUCUCUCUCUCCCCCUUAAUACUUUCUCUCUUGUAGGUUUGGUCCUUGAGACUUUUUCUCUCCCUUGAUGUGAUCUAUCUCUCCUACAAGCUUUGAUGUGAUCUCUCUCUCCCCCUUUGACAUCAAUUUCCAAGAAGGGCUUUCUGGAAUCCGUCGUAUAGGUUUGGUCCUUGAGACUCAGCACAAAGCAAUGGAUAAAACUGUGAUGCUUGUAGAGGACAAGAUUCAAUGAGUAGAGCUGGAUCAGAAGAAAUAUAGAACAACUGGCAAACUGUUUUUCCUGUUGCAAAGUCGGUGGCACCGAGUGGUAUGUUUCAGUGGCACCGAAAAGAUUCGGUUGGACCGAAAAUUACAAGUCGGUGAAACCGAGUUCACACAGAGAAAAACACUUGUCACCUCAGCUCACUAGACAUGUAGGAUCUCACAAAGAUUUGCAAUGAAUUACCUGAAGGAUUUGCAAGGAAUUAAAUGCAGAAAAUGCAGAAUAUAAACAGAAAGAAAAGAGAAGAGACUGAAAAAUCUAGAUGGAGUUUUUUUUUGUUUUUGAAAAAGAGAAAGAAACUAAACAUGCAUGAGAUACACACAAAAAGAGCACAAGAGAACUUCAUCUAGAGUUGGGCGGUGACAUAGUCACCUAUGUUAGAGUAUAUUGACUUAGGAGUCAAGUGAGAACACUUGAUCAUAGGUCAUACUCAUCGUUUAAGCUCAAAAUGGGGUUACCAUUUUUCGUUUAAGCAUCUUGAUGUAUUCACAUCUUGUUGAGUUGCUUUGACUCAUGUCUUGGAGUAAAGCUUCUCUAAGAUGGAAUAACAUACCUUGGGUGGUGGUGUGGUUCUUGCUCAUGUAGUUGAACUUGUGUGGGUGCUCAAGGUUGAUGUAGCUCAUCAAGAGUUGGGAGCACCACUUGGAGUUUGAGUUCAUCUACCUACAUGGGUUAGUUCUUGCAAGGAAGAGCACUUGUGUAUCCAAAAAUGACAAUCAUGAAGCUCAACAUAGAAUUUGUCAAAGGAUAUGUUUGAAUGGUUUUGUGCUUCCUUGUCUUCAACCGCCAUUGUGUAGAGACUUGGUGAUGUAGAGAUUGCUCAAGAUGUGAGUGAGUCGCAAUCUCAUGGAAUUAGAUUCAACCAAGCACCUACAUGGGUUAGACAACAUGCAAGGUACAAAUAUAUCCAAGACAUAAGAUAGUCAUCAUAAGAGAUAUAUCAUGGAUUAGUCAUAAGCUCAUGUCUUGCAUGUAUCCAAUGGAGUUUCUACUCCAAGUUCGAAGCAUCAAUGAUGUUCAAUUCACCUCUCAACCUGCAAAAUACUUUCUCAUCAAGAGGUUUAGUAAAUAUAUCCGCUAAUUGCUUAUCAGUGCGAACGUGCUUAAGAUUAAUGUCACCCUUAGCAACAUGAUCUCGAAUGAAAUGAUGACGAACUUCAAUAUGCUUACUUCGAGAAUGUUGUACAGGAUUAUGACCAAUUUUGAUAGCACUUUCAUUGUCACAAAGCAGUGGAACAUGUUUCACAUAAAUCCCAUAAUCUUUAAGAGUUUGGGUCAUCCAAAGUAAUUGAGCACAACAUGAACCAGCGGCGAUGUAUUCCGCUUCGGCGGUGGAUAAGGAUACCGAGUUUUGUUUCUUGGAAGACCAAGACACAAGAGAUCUACCAAGAAAUUGACAAGUACCCGAAGUGGACUUUCUAUCAACCUUGUCUCCGGCAUAAUCCGAGUCGGAAUAGCCAACAAGAUCAAAAGAAGACCUCUUAGGAUACCAAAUGCCAAAAUUUGGUGUAUGGAUUAAAUAUCUCACUAUCCUUUUCACAGCCUUAAGAUGACAUUCUUUAGGAGCAGCUUGAUAUCGUGCACACAUGCACACAGUUAGCAUAAUAUCGGGACGUGAAGCACAUAGGUAUAACAAUGAACCAAUCAUAGAGCGAUAAACCUUUUGAUCAACCGGUUCACCAUCUUUGGUCAAAUCAUUAUGUCCACUAGUAGGCAUGGGUGUAGACAUACCUUUGCAUUCUUGCAUAUUGAACUUCUUGAAUAAGUCCUUGGUGUACUUCGUUUGAGAGACAAAUGUACCUUCCUUAGUUUGCUUGAUUUGCAAACCGAGAAAGAAUUUGAGUUCACUCAUCAUAGACAUCUCAAACUUCUCUGACAUUAGCUUUCCAAACUUUUCACUAAAGAGAGGGCUAGUUGAACCAAAUAUGAUAUCAUUGACAUAAAUUUGGCAUACAAAUAGUUCUCCAUUAACCCUUUUAGUAAAAAGAGUAGAAUCAAUUUUACCAAUUUCAAAACCACUUGUAAUAAGGAACUUGGUCAAGCAUUUAUACCAUGCUCUAGGAGCUUGUUUAAGACCAUAAAGAGCUUUGUGAAGUUUGUAAACAUGAUUUGGUUUCUUAGGAUUGAUAAAGCCGUGAGGUUGUUUGACAUAAACUUCCUCCUCUAUUUCACCAUUUAGAAAAGCACUUUUAAUGUCCAUUUGGUACAAGGUGAUAUUAUGGUGAUUAGCAUAGGCAAGUAAGAUGCGAAUGGACUCAAGUCUAGCAACGGGAGCAUAUGUCUCACCAUAGUCCAUACCUUCGACUUGUGUGUACCCUUGGGUGACAAGACGUGCUUUGUUGCGAACCACUUGUCCAUCUUCAUCUUGCUUGUUGCGAAACACCCAUUUGGUACCAAUGAUGUUGUGGUUGUUGUCGGGCUUCUCAACCAAUGUCCAAACUUGGUUUCUCUCAAUUGUGUAGCUCUUCAUGCAUAGCAUUUAUCCAAUCCGGAUCUUCCAAUGCUUCUUCAACCUUCAUAGGUUCAAUGCUAGAGAUGAAUGAAUAGUUUUCACAAAAGUUAGCUAAACGAGUUUUUGAGCGAGUGAUUCUCCCGGUUUGUAUAUCAUUGAGGAUUUGCUCGACGGGAUGAUCUUUGGCAAUUCUUGCUCGAACUCGUGAGAGCUUUUGCUUGGGUCUUCGUUGAACAUCUUCUUCAUCUUGUUCUUCUUCUUGGCCUUCUUCAUUGUUGACGUCGUCGUUCUCUUGUCGUGGUGGAGAAAGAGGUUGUUGAUGUUCGUCUUGAUGCAUUUCCUUGUCUUCUUCAUCUUGGUGUGUCCCACUUGUGGAUGCUUCCGUGUUGAUUCUUGGUUCACCUUGUCGUGAAGUAGAAGCUUCCACUUGGAUGGAUGAAGUACUCUCCUUCACCUCCGUUGGACGAAUUUUGCCAAUGGACAAGUCUUGGAUUGCUUCUGAAAGGUCUUUGUCUCCUACAUCAAUUGGCAAUUGCUCUACUUGCGAGCCAUUAGAUUCAUCAAACUUCACAUCUACCGUCUCUUCAACCUUUCGGGUGAAAUUGUUGUAGACACGGUAAGUGUGAGAGUUUGAGCCAUAACCAAGUAGAAAACCUUCAUGAGAUUUAGGAGCAAACUUUGAACGAUGAUGCUUAUCAAGAAUGUAGCACUUUGAGCCGAAUACUCGAAAGUAUCCAACUUGGGGUUUGUUACCGGUGAGAAGCUCGUAUGCCGUCUUGCCGAGUAGCUUGUGAAGAUAUAAGCGAUUUGUUGCGUGACAAGUUGUCUCAACCGCUUCUGCCCAAAAGUGCUUCGGCGUCUUGUAUUCAUCAAGCAUCGUUCUUGCCAUUUCGAUGAGCGUCCGGUUCUUCCUCUCAACAACUCCAUUUUGUUGAGGUGUGUACGUAGCCGAGAACUCGUGUGAAAUCCCUUCUUCGUCGAGAAAGGUGUCCACAUUUGCAUUCUUGAACUCCAUUCCGUUGUCACUCCGAACCUUCUUGAUCUUCACGUCAAACUGAUUUUGGGCCUUCCUAGCGAAGUUUCUGAAGAUCUUCUGGACCUGCGACUUGUCAUUAAGAAAGAACACCCACGUAAAUCUUGAAAAAUCAUCAACUAUAACUAGACCAAAAGAAUUUCCACCGAGACUCUUGUAGGCGUUGGGACCAAAAAGAUCCAUAUGAAAUAGCUCGAGUGGCCUUCUUGUGGUCAUGAUGUUCUUCACGGGAUGCCUUCCUCCAACCUGUUUACCUGCUUGACAAGCACUGCAAAGUCUAUCCUUAUCAAAUAUGACAUCGUUAACUCCAAGGAUAUGAUUUCCUUUAAUAAGCUUGUCAAGGUUUCUCAUGCCAACGUGACCUAGUCGUCUAUGCCACAACCAACCUUUUGAGGAUUUAGCAACAAAGCAAGUUUUAGGUUGUGCCUUUUUAGAGAAAUCGACAAUGUAAAGAUCACCUCUACGCAUACCGGUAAAGACCAUUUUAUGAUUGUCUCGACGAAAUACUUGGCAAUCUACCUCAGUAAAUAGGACAUUCAAACCGAAAUCAGCAAGUCUAGAUACUGAAAGUAAGUUGUAGCCAAGAGAUUCAACGAGCAUGACAUUUUGAAUGGAACUAUCAUGUGAGAUGGCCACCUUACCAAGGCCAACCACUUUACCCUUUGAAUUAUCACCAAAGGUGACAUAUUUUCGAGGGCCGUCAUUUUCAGCAAGCUCACGGAACAUCUCUUCAUCUCCGGUCAUAUGAUCAGUACAUCCACUAUCAAGAACCCAUUCCUUUCCUCCCGACUCAUAUCCCCGAAGAUUUGCCAUAAGACCAAAAUGUCUCAUUGCAUCAUCAAGAUCGAAGUCACUAUCAUCAUCAUCAUAGUAUCCAUGUUCACCAUGAUCUUGUGACUCAUCAUUUCCUAGAGAGGGUAAUUCAUUAGAUAAAUGAUCAUCAAAGUGGUCACCUUUAUGAAUUCUUAUAGCUUCGAAUAUGAUAUCACUAAUGAUUCCAACAUCUCCUUUAGCAUGCUUAAGAUUGGUAAGUUCAAAUAGACAAUUACCAAAACUAGGAUCACUAGAGUUCAUCUUACUCAAGGCACUAGAUUUAUGGAGAAUUUCAUCCAAAGUUUUCAAGGAAUGAUCGGGAAAUCGUUCCUCAAGAAAUUUUCAUAUAGUAUAGGCACAAUUAAGAGUAGGCAAACUAGCAAUCAAAUUUUUGGGCAAUCCUCUAAUGAUGAGCUCAAUAGUUCUAAGAUUGCGAAUCAUGUCAAUAUCUUCAUCUAGGGUAGGAUGCAAAGGAUCAAUAUGAGGUGCACAACGGCUAGCAAUAUACUUGUUCAAAUGAUAUUGAUUGAAAAUUACAAGCAUCUCAUUUUUCCACUCCUGAAAAUACUCUCCAGCAAGAAUAGGCACUCUAUGUCUAAGACUCCCUAAGGUAGACAUAUCCAUCUUCCUCCAAUGGUGAUUAAACCAAGGCAAUGAAAACCUGGCUCUGAUACCACUUGUAGGAUCUAGAAGUAGAUGUUUCUAGAGGGGGGGGGUGAUUAGACACUUAGUGCUAAAGUUGCAAUUUUUAGGCCUUUUUGGUUUGAGUGGAGUUUUAGGCACAAUUUCAACAUACACAAUACAUAUCAAGCAAGCAUGCAAAGAGUAUAUGAGCAGCGGAAUGUAAAGCAUGCAACUUGCAAGAAUGUAAGGGGAAGGGUUUGGAGAAUUCAAACGCAAUUGGAGACACGGAUGUUUUUCCCGUGGUUCGGAUAGGUGGUGCUAUCCUACAUCCACAUUGAUGGAGACUUCAACCCACGAAGGGUAACGGUUGCGCGAGUCCACGGAGGGCUCCACCCAUGAAGGGUAAUGGUUGCGCGAGUCCACGGAGGGCUCCACCCACGAAGGGUCCACGAAGAAGCAACCACCCACGAAGGGUCCAUGAAGAAGCAACCUUGUCUAUCCCACCAUGGCCAUCGCCCACGAAGGACUUGCCUCACUAGCGGUAGAUCUUCACAAAGUAGGCGAUCUCCUUGCCCUUACAAACUCCUUGGUUCAACUCCACAAUCUUGUCGGAGGCUCCCAAGUAACACCUAGCCAAUCUAGGAGACACCACUCUCCAAGAAGUAACAAAUGGUGUGUAGGUAAUGAACUCCUUACUCUUGUGCUUCAAAUGAUAGUCUCCCCAACACUCAACUCUCUCUCAUAGGAUUUGGAUCUGGUGGGAAGAAGGUUUGAGUGGAAAGCAACUUGGGGAAAGCUAGAGAUCAAGAUUCAUAUGGUAGGAAUGGAAUAUCUUGGCCUCAACACAUGAGUAGGUAGUUCUCUCUCAGAAAUAGGAUGCUGGAAGUGUAGGCUUAGUCUGAUGGCUCUCUCUACGAAUGAAGAGGAGGUGGAGGGGUAUAUAUAGCCUCCACACAAAAUCCAACCGUUACACACGAUUUACCAAUCUCGGUGGGACCGAAUCAACAAACUCGGUCAGACCGAAAUAGGAAACCUAGUGACUGUUAGAGAUUUUCGGUGGGACCGACUGGAUCAACUCGGUGGGACCGAUGUGCUAGGGUUAGGGUGAAUCCAAAACUCGUUUUGACCGAUUACUCAAACUCGGUGGGACCGAUUUGAGUAAUAAGUGAAACAGAGAGUUGGCCAAGCAAACUCGGUGGGGCCGAUUGCAUAUCUCGGUGGGACCGAAAAUAUUGCAAUAGGUAACAGAGAGUUUGCAAGCCCAUCUUGGUGAGACCGAGAUCCCAUUGGUGAGACCGAACUGAUUAGGGUUUCUGGCAGUGGCUAUGACAGGUGAAACUCGGUGGCGCCGGAUAGGAAUAAUCGGUAGGUCCGAGUUUGGCUUUGGGUUUAGGUCAUAUGUGGAAGUGGGAAAGUAGCUGAGGAUUUUGGAGCAUAUCAUUAAGCACAUGAAGCAAGAGGCUCAUUAAGCAACACCUCAUCGCUCCUUGAUAGUAUUGGCUUUUCCUAUGGACUCAAUGUGAUCUUGGAUCACUAAAAUGUAAAAUGAAGAGUCUUGAGCUUGAAGCUUUAGCCAAUCCUUUGUCCUUAGCAUCUUGAAGGAGUUCCCACAACCUUUAGUCCAUGCCACUCCAUUGUUGAACUUAUCUGAAACAUGCUAGAUAGAAAUGUUAGUCCAACAAGAGAUAUGUUGUCAUCAAUUAUCAAAACCACCUAGGGAGCACUUGUGCUUUCAGUUCACUCUACCCGUCCGUCUGAGGGUGGUAGGCAGUUGAGUACAGCAACUUAGUACCUGCGCCAGCGAGCAGCUCGCGCUAGAGAGCGCUGGUGAAGACCUUGUCUCUAUCAGACACAAUUGAGGCCGGCACCCCAUGGAUUUUAACUAUGUUGUCCCAAAAGGCUUUGGCCACCUGCGCCGCUGUGAAGGGGUGACGGAGCGGCACGAAAUGCGCGAACUUCGUGAAGCGAUCCACGACCACCAUAAUCGCAUCAUAGCCCUCCGACUUGGGAAGCCCUUCAACGAAAUCCAUCAUGAGAUCUUGCCAAGGUGCUGUUGGGAUGGGUAAAGGUGCCAAUUUGCCAGCAGGUUUCUGAAGUUCAUGUUUCGCUUGCUGGCAGACAGUGCACUGGCGCACGUAUUCCUCCACUGCCGUUUUCAAGCCCUUCCACGCAAAGCAUUUCUUGAUGCGGUGGUAAGUUGCGGAUGCACCAGAGUGGCAGCCCACUGCACUAUCGUGCAUAGCACUGAUCAGCUUAGUGCGCAGGGCGGUGUUGUUGCCAAUCCAGAGGCGCCCAUGGUGGCGAAUCAGUCCACGGUACAGCUCGAAUCCAUCAUCAUCCGGGCUGUGCAGGGCGAGUUGUUGCAGCAAGUCUUGAGCGUCUUGGUCUGUCUCGUAAGAAUUUGCCACUUCCUAUACCCAGGCUGGUUGACCGAGAGAGAGAGCGGCCGCCUCAAAGUGUGUGCCGACGCGGGACAAGGCAUCAGCCGCGCCGUUGUCAACGCCGCGCUUGUAUUGGAAGUGGAACUGCAAGCCAACCAAUUUGGACAUUGCCCGGCGUUGUACAUCUGUUUCUAGUUGUUGAUUUCCCAAUGUGCACAAACUCUUGUGAUAUGUGAGAAUGGUAAAGGGGCCCCGUUGGAGGUACGAGCGCCACUUGUCCACUGCCAUCAUGACAGCGAGGAACUCCUUUUCAUAUGUCGACAAUUUCUGGUUCUUGAUGCCUAAAGCUUUGCUAUAGUAGGCAAUUGGAUGGCCUUCUUGAACAAGAAUGGCAUCGAUGCCCGUGUCGCAUGCGUCAGUCUCGAUCGAGAACGGCUUGUCGAAGUUGGGCAGAGCAAGAAUGGGUGUGGUCACCAUGGCCUGCUUGAGGGUGUCAAACGCGAGUUGCGCCUGCUCUGUCCACUGAAACCCCUUCUUAGUGAGUUGCUGGGUCAGAGGCUUGGCAAUUAUCCCAUAGUGUGGGACGAAUUUGUGAUAAUAGCCCGUGAGACCCAAGAAUCCUUGGAGCUCAGUAGUGUUUGUUGGUGUGGGCCAGUUCAUCAUGGCUUCUGUCUUGUCGCUGUCCGUUGUCACCCCAUCCUUGGAGAUGACAUGCCCAAGGUAAUCAAUGUGAUCCUGAGCGAACGAGCAUUUGGAAAGCUUGGCAUAUAAUUGAUGCUCCCGAAGAAUCUCCAGGACUAUUCGUAGAUGUUGCACAUGCUCCUCUAGUGUCUCACUGAAAACCAGGAUGUCGUCAAGGAAGAUGAUCACAAACUUGCGUAUGUGUGCUUCGAAGAUCGCAUUCAUGAGGCACUGGAAGGUUGCCGGGGCGCUGGGCAGCCCAAAUGGCAUGACACGAAAUUGGAAAUGGCCAUGGUGAGUCUUGAACGUUGUCUUGGCUUCAUUUGCCUCCAGCAUCUGUAUUUGAUGAUAACCAGAGCGGAGAUACAGCUUGGAGAAAUAUGCGGCACCUGCCAGUUCAUCGAGUAACUCGUCCACGGUCGGCAACGAAAAUUUGUUCUUGAUGGUGCUGUUGUUGAGCCACCGGUAGUCUACACAGAAGCACCACGUACCGUCCUUCUUUUUGACGAGGAGGACCGGUGCCGCAUAGGGGCUGACACUGUGCGUGAUCACCCCCGAGUCCAGCAUCUCACGAACCUGCUUCUCAAUCUCAUCCUUUUGCACCGGCGAGUACCGGUACGGCCGCGUGUUUGCGGGGCGCACGCCGUCCACCAGGGUGACGACAUGGUCGUAUUGACGGUGUGGUGGUAGUCCCUUGGGCGCGGCAAAGACAUCGGCGAACUCGUCGAGCAGGUCACUGAUCGGUGUCAACGAGGGUGUGCGUCGCUUGACCUUAGCUGGGCGCGCGUCCAUCAGAGCCAUAGCCCACACAUCGUUGCCUGCAAUAAUCUUGCUCAACUCUUCAGGCUCAAUGGCUGUAAUAGUUGGUUGCUCUUUGGGACGAACCCCCUGUAAAGUGACUUGCUCUCCGUCGUGGACGAAGGUGACAUGCUUUUCCUGCUAGUGACACAUCAUUGGAUUGUAUUGGGCAAGCCAGUCCAUGCCCAAAAUUCCGUCGUAGGCCCCUAUUUCCAGCUCGCGCAUUGGCUCGAAAAGGUGUGCCCCUGCAUCCCCCAUUUGAGAUCUGGGACUAGGCGAGAGCUGAUCAGGCGAUCCCCAUUUGCUACCUGCACUUCCACGACUGGCAUUUCCUGAGUAACGUCGCCCACUCGUUCCAUGAAUGCCUUGUUCACAAAACUGUGUGUGCUCCCAGAGUCGAGCAGCAGCAACAUUACUUGAUUACCCACUAGAGCACGAAGACGGAUGGUGGGGGGGGGGUGUCGGAAUCGUCCAGAGCGUGCGCUGAGAGCAUGCAACACUCCGGCUGUGGUGCAGCAGCCACUGGUUCGUCCAGGAGUUCCAAUGCAUGGAUGGCAUCAUCGGAGAGGAGUUCCCCAUAGUUGCCCACUUGAAUUGUGAGAAGCUGGGCCUGAGUGUUGCACCGAUGCUCCCUGGAGUAGCGGUCACCGCAUUUGAAACACAGUCCGUUUGCGUGCCGGAAGUCCUUGAGCUGACGUUCCCGAGCAAACUCGUCGCCCUGGGGCCGUGCCGUGGGCACCGGGCGUGGUGGUGCAGGAACUGGGAGUGGCGGUGGUCGGCCUGCAGGUGUUGGGCGUGGGCGCGCUCUCGGCAUACCCAACUCGUCCUCCUGAAUUCGAGCCAAAAUGGAUGCCCGGGUGAUACUGGUGGGUGACUGGAGACGGACAGCCGCUCGAAUCUCGUCCUUGAGCCCCAGGAGGAACUGGGUGAUGAAAAAUUUGGGACUCAAAGAUGGAUCCAGUGCCAAGAGAUGGUAAAUGUGGGUGUCAAACAUCUGCCUGUACUCUGCCACAGUGCUGUUCUGGCGCAAUUGAAGUAAUUUGUGCAUCUCGAGCUCGAAUUCAUCGACACCAAACUCCUCUGUAAUCGUUGCGCAAAAGGCUUCCCACGUCAACCCUUGGUGGACUUGGCAAAAUGCCUGAAGCCAGUGUGCCGCCUGCCCUUCAAUGUACAAGGUAGUCGUGGUCACCCAGCUGUGUGCAGGCACUCUGUAUAGAUCGAAGUAAGCACGACAACGGUCCAACCAGAGAUAAGGUGCACUGCCAUCGAAACGAGGGAAGUCAUGUUUCGAUGGCUUGAUGUAGGUGUCGCAGGCUUGCCGAGGAUGGUGAUUGAAGUCUGGCUGCUGUUGGGGAUGAGGCGCCAUCACCCCCAUGUGUGCCUGGGUGACGGCUGGCGCGGGCGCGGGUGAUUGAACCAGCAGGGGUGGGCGCUCGUCGGCCAGACGAGGAGAAAGCGGUGGGCCUUGGUGAUGCGGCGCAGGCGCGGGACGCAGUGGCGGCGGUGGCGGCGGGUUGAAAACCGCGCCGGAUCCGCGCGGAGACGGGGAGCACUCCAUGGACUUGCGUGCUUCAUCGACAUCAGCCUGCGUAAGGUCGAUCCGUUUGCUGAGGUUGCGCACAUCCUGGGAUACCUGGGUGUUGAAGGCGACCUGGGCCUCGAGCCGUUUGUCGCUGUCGAGUUUCUGUUCGUCGAGGCGCGUGACGAUCGAUUUCAGGAGGGACUUAAGGGUGUUGGUGUUGUCGUCCAUGGCGGACAGGAGCUGCCGGGUCUGCGCGGAGGGCUUCGACGGCGCCGUCGCUCUCGCUCCGAACCGAUCUAACCCCGCCGGGGAUUUUGGGUGGUCUCGCCGAGGCAAGUCCACGCCCGCGGCGGUGGGAUUUUACAGAUCAAGGUCAAGAGAGUUUGAGAGCAGCGGAGAAAAAUUUCCCGGAGGAAUCGAUGGCUCUGAUUACUAACUGUAACACCCCUGUCCAGAUCGAGAGGAUCGGAGUAGGCUUGGAGAGGGGAUCAGAGAGGUAGGUGGGAUACUUGGAGAAGAGGGUGAGCAACGAGAGAAAGAGGAUGAGUCAAUCAGUCCAUUUCAUACAGCCUGUCGAUCUCAGGAUCGCCUUCAGGGCUAAGUACAGACACGCCUGGCCCGUGGCCAACUCACACACGCACUCCUGACCCUGUGACCCACCGGUCAGCUACCACACUUUCUCCUACACGCUAGGGCCUGCUUGACAGUCACACCGUGGCUGGUGUGACAGCUUGAUCCACUAAUAAUCACGGAAGGCUCGCACACACAAAAUUGUGGGAUCAUGCACCUCCUACCUUAUUUGCAUGGGGCUAAGAAAACGUGAAGGAAAAAACAACAAAGAGGUGCACAAGGUCUCACACCGGACGUGUCAUGAGCUUCUGCCUCCCGGAGGACCCUGGCGCGUGCACGUUGCUGCUGCCGCCGGUGCGCCGUUCGUGGCCCCGACGGCUGGCUCCUAUACCUCCCAGUCGCCGCGCAGGAGCUCAUGACCACCUACUCCAUGUCCUGCCGCCAUGGUCACCACAUCGCCACUUGCCAGUCCCCUCAGUCCGGCCCGGGCUUUGCGGUCGCCGGUCUAGUCCCUAAAAAACAGGACUGCCAGGCUGGUCAGUCCGGUCUGGUCCAGCCCGCCAGCGGCCGGUCCAAACGGCGGCUCGGUCAAGGAUCGGACAGUGCCCACCCUAUAAGGGCUCAAGUUUGACUCAAAUUUGAAGACAUAGAAGUGUUGAGACCAUAAUGAUCAAAACAAAACCUGAGAACAGCAAAUAUAUGGAAGUGCAAUCCACUCUUUAGUUGCUGGAUUGCACAUGAUAGCGUCGGAUAUUUAUUUAUAGUGCGUAUCACAAUGAUAACAAAGAAGUAGGCCAUUGCUGCAGUCCUUAAGCUCUAAGGGAUGCCCACAACACGACACAAAGCUAAGUGUUAUAUUAAUAUCCCUAUCAUUUGAGGGAAGUCCCGCCAGAAGGAUGGGAGUGCCAUGCUCACCUUUUUGGUAGAGGAGACCGAUAGGAGUUCUUGGGAGCUUCCAGCGGUAGUGUGGAUCAGAUGAGAAGGCAAGCCAAGAUUUGGAGACACAUCUGAAAUGGCAAAAGGACUUCAGCGGCAGCCGAGACAGGAUCUCCAUCACCAGGUCAUCAGGUAGUACGGUUGUGGUCAUCCCCUAACAAGGUUAUCUCCUUUGAGUUUUUGUUGUUGUUGACAACACUCCUUUGAGGUUAUUUAGCUGAUGAAUGUAUAUCUACAUAAAAAGAGAAGAAAAUAAAUGAUAUAAAACUGAGAAGCUUAGUGUUUAUGCAGAACUACAAGAAGUAGUGAUACCCAUAAUUUAACGAUUAACCAGAAUGAGCAAAUUACUGGAUUGUAGCUGAGACCAGCACUUGAUAAUUGGUAAACAUUGACUCCAUGCUCGAAAUAUGGAUGCAUGAUUGUGGAUGCCAUUUGAACUGAAAUACUGUCCAAUUAUAUCACACUAAAAACCAUGACUAAAUUUUUAUUGAUGGUCCCCUUCUAACGAUAGCUUUUGCAGUUUUCACCCGAAUUUGUAAAUGAGGAUUGAGGAAAGUUUUGAAGCAUAUUUUCGUACGGGCUUAUGGCAUACGCUGCGUGUGAGUGGAUCACGGGGAUUCAUAGUUAUGUGCAAUUGUGCAAACAAUAAAAUUACUAAGUUUUUUCCAACGAUUGCUUCGCCAUCCAUUUCAUAACAGGCCAGCAACAAUGAAAACAUACUGCACGUGUUGCUUAAUGCGCCGUGAAACAAAAAGUUAUCUGGUAAAAAGGGAACGUAAUGUACCUUCAGGAUCUAUAAUCUCAGGGACCAACAAAAAAAAUCUAGUCAUGGUGCAAGGGCAAAUAUAUGUGCUAACUCGUGAGAUAAGCAAGGGCAGCAAAACAAGAAAUCAUCGUAUCCAUCCGAGCUGCAACUGACCAACGGAAACGAACUCAUCAGACAUCAGAUCAGGUAUAUGUUCCAAACCGCGACUUGCUUUCAUGGCACGAAAUCGAGGGGAAAUGCGGACUCACCAACUUGGGUGAGGGGAAUCCAGGGUGGGGAACGGGCCGUCAGCCGUGUUGAGAGUCAGGUUCCAUCUGCAUGAGCUCAUAUCAGAAACGACACAUGACAUGAGGAUAACAUUCGGCAUAAGCACCGAGGAGAGGAAAAUGCACGAUAGCUCACCGCGUAAUCGGCGGUCGUGGGCGAGCGUGAUCGGCCAGGCGGCAAGCUGGUGAUACAGAUGGACGUUGCCGGAAGCAGCGGUAGUGCCCGAGAAGGGUCUCGCCGCCGCUCCCUGGAGAAUGGGGAUUCGCCGCUACUUGGGAGAGACUACAUAGUGGGAAAAGCAACGAUCGUAUUUGGGCUGAGGCUUCUCACUAGGAUAAAAGCCUCUUGUUGGGCUGGGCCAAGACCCUCAUAUUCGAUUGUUUUUUUCUAGACAUUAGACGGCCUAUCGGCGAAACUGCACAAUAGAGGACCUUCAGGCUUCAGCAGCAACUGUGCAAGAUAUCAAGGGAAGAAUGCUUGAUUUUGCUUCGGUGGAUUUCAUCCAUGAGAAGCGGGAGUUGAAUCUUGAAGCUCAUAUAAAUUAUGUAAAGCAUCAACUACUUUAGCUUUUGGCAGCCAUGUUUGGCUUUCUGAUUUACCAGACAUCAUUUGUAUCCGUAAACUUAUUCCUAGCUAAAUAAAGUUGCUUGACCACUGAAAAGAAAAAUCAGGGAAACUGCACAAUAGUACAACCUCAUUCAAGUUCGAGUAUUUGUCAAGUCCACUAGUUCCCCGCAAAAAAAAGCCCAAUAGUACAAACUAGGGUUGGAAUUUGUUCCCCUCAGUUUUAAUCGUCUUGAAGUAGAAUCAGAUUCUUCACAAGUAAUUGAUUUCUUCACCUGACGGACACAAUUGUGGGAUACAGCCUUGGCAAUAUUUGUGGAGUGUGUGGAUACAGUGUCGAUGAUUGGAAAGUUCAUGUUUAAACAUUGUUUUCAAACAGCUAAUAACGCGGCUCAUGUGCUAGCGAACCAUAAAAUUUUGUAAUAAAAUUUAUUUUAUUUGGUUAGACAAGCCGCCUGAUUUUGUUAUCAGUGUGCUCGCAAACGAUGUAACCCUAUUUAAGUUUUAAUAAAGCUAGUCCUGAUGGCCUUAUCCUCAGAAAAGAAACUAAUAUUGCUAGAUUCACCUAAAAAAUAGUAUUGCUAGAUUUUCGCUUGAUUUAGCUCGAGGUCAUCACAUGUGUCCUUGCGAAACGGCCCACCGAAGCGAUUUGUUCUCGGUUUCCCUUCCAGUUUGGGUUUCUUAACUUUUUCAGUUUGCCCUUCGUACUAUCUAGGUUUUUCGCUUUUCCAUUCCACACGUGACACGGGUAAAAAAUAGACGCCAAAACUAUAGCCAAAAAUUGGCAUGCGUCACAACAAAAUUAGACUACAGCUACCAAAAAUCCCCCUUUUCACUUUCUUUUCCGAUUAUAUUUCUGGGAGAUGGAGUUUUAUGGGGUAAUUAUGGAUGGGGGCUUCCAAAAACUAUCAAAUGAUAGCUUUCAACUAAAAAACAAGUUUCAAUAAUAUUACGGUGCAUGCAGGCGCAAUUCUUGCUCGCCUCCGCCUCGUUAAAUUUUCAUAUACAUCUUGAGGGGGGUCAUAGGUCGAUGCGUGUGUUCUUCGUACAACGUGUUUAUCGUAAUAAUCGUGUGCUUCCGGCUUCGCUAGUACACGGCGCCUACGGUGUGAUUCCUACUCAGGCGAUCCUGGUUCAAAACUCUUCUCCCUUUGAUCUAAUCCUUGAAGUUCAAAAUGUGUCUCAUUUCCCUGCCAUUUCCUCCUGGAUGCUCAUGAUCAUCAUCAUCACAACAUCUUCGUUCGACUCCGACGAAUCUAAGGUAUCCUUUUGCAUUACUUCAUCAAGCUCCGUGUUUCCAUACUCCUCAUCCAAUGAACCAUCAGAAUCCAUCAUUUUCCUACAAAAGAAUCACAAAAGAACCGGUUGGCAAUUUUUAGAACACACAGAGAGCAAGGUACAGUCCGAGAAUAGCCGGACGUACCACGGUGGCGUCCUGGGCGGUGACGGAAGCCGAUGUGGUGAGAUGACCGGGGAGGAGAUAUUCUGCCAGUGAUGGCGGCGCUGAAGGGUCGGGACGAUAGUGGAGCUAGGGGAGGGCCAGGACAGACAAGGGAGAAGAGAGGUGAGGAAAAUGGCUCGUCCGACAAGGACAGGGAGGGGAGGGGGGAUUUGGUGGAAUUUAUGGUAGGUCUUGUUCUCAUAUCCGCCCCGGAUAUGGGCUGGAUAUGAGGGGUACCGGUCAGACCGGACGUAUAGGGCCGGUUUCAGGACGUCGUCUGGGUCAUGAUUUUACGACCGGUCACUCAGCGAGCAUAUAGGGGGGGCGUUUGGGGAGCCCAGCCGUAGAUGAUCUUAACAAUCUUGCACACAUUCAGGGUANNNNNNNNNNNNNNNNNNNNNNNNNNNNNNNNNNNNNNNNNNNNNNNNNNNNNNNNNNNNNNNNNNNNNNNNNNNNNNNNNNNNNNNNNNNNNNNNNNNNNNNNNNNNNNNNNNNNNNNNNNNNNNNNNNNNNNNNNNNNNNNNNNNNNNNNNNNNNNNNNNNNNNNNNNNNNNNNNNNNNNNNNNNNNNNNNNNNNNNNNNNNNNNNNNNNNNNNNNNNNNNNNNNNNNNNNNNNNNNNNNNNNNNNNNNNNNNNNNNNNNNNNNNNNNNNNNNNNNNNNNNNNNNNNNNNNNNNNNNNNNNNNNNNNNNNNNNNNNNNNNNNNNNNNNNNNNNNNNNNNNNNNNNNNNNNNNNNNNNNNNNNNNNNCCACACACCAAUAUGUGUGGCAGGGUGUUAUCUGCAACUGUGUCUGGUGAGAUUGGUUAGUUUGAGAGGCAAGAUGAACUGCAUGUCAUCAACUCCACUGAUCGGCAACGGCAGCUGCGGCUUUGCCGUUGGUGGCGGCACUUCCUUUUUUUUUUAGAAUCAGCUGCACUUCCUUUGUUGGUGGAAUUGUUGGUACAUGUACAUAGCGUGGAGAUGCUCCACGUUGACAUAGACGAUGGAUCAGUGGAAUGUCAGUAUGCUCAAGAAGCUGUGGUCACCAGCGAAUGGAUGAAGCAAGAGGAGGGCAUCCUUGCCUGCAAGCAGGGGCUCCGUAGGAACUUUGAAGGAGGAUACCAUGACCAAACUCCUUGGAUGGCCUCCAAACUGUAUGUACCUGAAGAACUCGUCGGCAAAGCACGCUAGCUGCUCGAAUCUCCGCACUGUCUCGACGAGGGAGAUCCUACUGGACUUCGCGAUGGCUGAAACAUUAACUCCUCUGGUAAAUCAACCUAACAUAUGAGAGCUGGCUGCUGCUAUGCCAAGAGACCGAAACCUGGCAAGAUUACAAGAGUUCUCCCAGCCAUUGUAUAGAAAGCUCACACUGCCUCACACAUCCUUUUAUCAAGAGAAAUGAGAAGUGCCAAUUAGAAGAAGAACACAACACAUAACGAAGCCAACAAUUCAGUACAUACAUAACAGCUGUUUGGCACAGCUAGCGCACAAAAGAUACCUAGAGAUUACAUCAUUCAUAGGGUAAAUAUUCUAACAUUUGUCUUGAGCUGCUUGAAGCACACAAGCUGGAAACUUGCCAUAGUAUGGCACAUAGAGUAGACUUCGAUAUAGGUUAACGAAGCUUGGAAUGUUUAGAAUCUGGCAGACUUUUCCAGUACUGAUGCUAUAUGAGAUGAUCUUAUUAUCAGCAAUUGUGUCAGCAAGGAUAACUAGCUCUCUCUCCAGGUCAAAUGCCAGGAUUUCAUAAUCAAAGUACCAUAAUCCUUCAUUGUUAGUACGGAGCAUUAUGUUCCUCCCAAAUACAUUGUUCAUAUUUAGACGAUGCUUCACCACCCACCUAUCAUAUCCUUCCAAACUCCAAAUUCGGAUCAUGCAACCAUCCAAUUCUUGUUGUGCAUAGCAUAAGACCCCAGAUGACUGCCAAAGACGCCCGUCAAAGCAAUAAAACCUCUCUGGUCCAUAUGGAAACCCUGGCAACUGAAUGGUCCUAUGAUUGAGCUGCUGUGUGCAUGUAUCAGGUGCAUCGAGUGCCAGAAGGUAAUGCCUCCAUAAGUGCUCCACAUACAACACCCCAUUUACAAAGAGUGAAUCACCAAAAAAUAUAUCUGAGGUUUCCCAUAGACAAUUAGACCAGGUCGAAUACUCAGAGAAGAAUACCGUAACUUCAGUGUCAAAUCCACCACUUGGACUUGACUCAAAUUUGAAGACAUAAAAGUAUUGAGACCACAAUGGAUCAAAACACAACUUGUAACUGGCAUAACAGACGGCUGGUCCAGGUUCAGUAUCUGGAAGUGACAUCCACUCUUGAGUUGCUGGAUUGCACACGAUGGCGUCGGAAAUUCCUUUCGAGGGCAUACCACCAUGAUAACAAAG